rnacentral:lncRNA from 1 species
AUCACCAACUCUCCAAAUUGUCAAGUUAAAUCACAAAAUAGGAUUAUGAACUAGAAAUAUCAGUAAUAAUAAUCAAUCAAAGUAUUAGUAAGAGACCCUAUACAGAAGCAAGGAGCAGAUUUCCUAAAGAAAAAUCAUUAACAAAAGAAAUAAUUUAAAGAGAAUCAUUUUAAAUAGCUCGUGUUACUUGGAGACAGACUUCUACUACACUCUACUUUGGCAAACGUUAUAAGAGUUAAGAUUUGAUGGAGUGAGAAGAAUAGAAAAGUAUGAGUGAUGUCCAACUUGAAAGUCAGCAAUUGCCUUUUGAGUUGAAUUGAGAAUUAGGUUUAAAAUUUCUUCCUCUCUAUUGUUGGAAAGAAACAUGAGUUAUGGAGAGUGGUAAUAGUUAGUGUCAGUCUGAGUGUUUCCCUCUCCCCUUUCUCCCACAUCAGUCCAGUGAGAAUUGAGUUAUGAGAGUUUAAGUCCCUUUAAGUCCCUUGGUCCAACUUAAAAGUCAGCAAUUGCCUUUUGAGUUGGAUUGAGGAUUAGGUCUAAAAUUUCUUCCUCUCUAUUGUUGGAAAGAGAAGAAUAGAAAAGUAGAAAAAAAAAUACAGAGAGACAAUUUGCAACCAGGCAAGAGCAGUAGCAGUUUGCCAAAAUUGGAGGUGCACGUAGCCUGCACAGUGAACAUUUUCAGGACCAGCAAAUCCAUGAUAAAUUUAAUGAAAUUUAAGGUACAAAGUAGAAAGGUGUUACAAGUUUAAGGAUACAAAGUGGAGUAGGCCUAAAGUUUUAUGAAAAAGAAAAUGAGGACAUUAAAACUAGGCGGUUAAUGUCCUCCAUCCAUCUUCAAAAAUAGUAAUUUGGCUAUAGUUAACUGUAAUAAUAUUGCAAAUUUUUGUACAAUUUGAAUUUAUUAGCAAGGGUCGUAAAGGAAUUUUUUUACUCUACUCAUCUUUCAAAAACAGAAAAUGAUUGCACUUGAUCUAGAGUAUUACAAGAAAAAUGGUAAUUUACAGUAUCCUGAUGGCAUAUGUUAGGUUUCGGGACUACCAGAUAAAAGUUCUUGCCCCUGACUUUCUGUUUUUUAAAAUUUAGAUAUAUAGUAGGGCAUAAUAUGCCAUAAUCAUUACAAAGACCUCUCAAAUCUAAUAAACUUUUUAUCUACUCAUCCCCCGAAACUACACUGAUGAAGAAAUGGUCGCUUAAUGGCUAAUGUCAUUUAAGAUGACAAAUGAAAUCCCACAGAAAAUCAAAAUCUGUAUAAGAUUGAGUCCUGUACUAGCGUUGCGUUUCUUACAAACCUAGUUAGUUUUGACUAUUUUCGUGGUGAUUUCAAAAACUCACAAAUUAUGAAUGACUAGAUUAUAGGUUUCCAAAUUCUGGGAAGUAAAUUUAACAUUUUCUACACCACAAGAAAUUUUUUAUAUUUAAUUUAUUACAUUUCACUUGUCAAUGUUAGUUUCGAUUGAUUUUCAUCUGAUAUUUCCAAAAAUUUACAAGCUAGGAGGUGCUAAAUUGUAUGUUCCCAAGCUCAAGGUGCAAAUUUUAAAUCCCGUGAGAUAUUGGUUGAGCAAAAGAACAUAAAAUGAAAAAUCUUGGGACAUACUACCUGCUUGUUUGGCUGUGAGGAAUCUGAAUCUCUUCUAUUUUGCUGCUAAUUUGAUGAACUCGAACAUUGAAGAAAAUCUAUGAUGAAGCAAUUAUUGGAUAGAAGACUAGAGAAUUGUAGUUUCGUUUUUGUGCCAGGCCUAGUAUCAUUUGUUACCUUUCAUCUUGUUCAUAAUAAUCAAGAGUUUUUUUUUUAGUAAUUAAUUUUAUUUAUUAAUAAGGACUACCUAAAUCUUUUCUCAAUGAAACUGUCACAUAUAACCACCUUAUUUUAAUUACAUGCAUAUAUAUGUAUAUAUACAUACUAGCUCCCGCCAAAUUCCUGAAGCCAAAAGUUCUGUUAUAGUGUUCAUGGUAGUUCUUAUGGCUGUUGCGUCUCUAUCCACUAAUUGAUUGAAAUCACUUCCACUGAGAAGCAAGUUUGUAAUAAUCGUUCUUGAAUCCUUAUUUGUUGUUCCUAUAGUAUUAGAGGAUUGUAAGAAUGAUGUGUAAUGUUCCUGAUUCAAGCUUUUGUUCUGAUUGUUCCAUUCUUUUUUACUUCUCUUUUUUCUUUUUUAUCCUUUUCUUUUUCCUAUCAUGCAAUCGAGGUUCGCCCUUUUUAUUUUUCUUGUUUAGCAAAUUAGGAAAAUAAUGUUAGCACUUCUAAAAUACCCUCUAACAUUCCAUCCUCUCUUUAUGCUUAUAAACGCAGGAUGGAAUACUAAAUGGUAUUUUAGAAGUGCCAAUAACAUUUCCCCCGCAAAUUAUUAGUUAUUGUUGUUGCCAAUUGCUGGGAUUAAGCAAGCAGUUCUAUGAGUUGGGAUUUUGAUUGUUCUAUUCUUUAAUCAAAAACAUAGUUAAAAAAAAUAACUCAUAAUAAUAAAAUACAAGAAAUCCAAACAUACGAAAACUCAUAUUACGCCUAGUAUGACAACAAAUGGUGCCAAAACGAUCCAUUUGCCCUUAUUCUAAAUCCAGUGCAACAAAUGGCUAUAUAUAUAUGUGUGUGUGUAAUGCUUUGGGGGUGUCAAAAUACUAAAUCCAUUACAUUAAGGGGUCAAAGCAUAUAUUCUUUUUCUUCAUGGGACAAAGUGUCAUUAACUCUUAUUGUUUUCCUCUCAAAUAUUUGUCUUUGAAUUUGUUUACAUGCCAAAAGUAAGUGAUUGGAUAAUAAAACAAUUGGUGCAUAAAGGAUUGUUGCAUUCUUAUCCAAGUGAAAUAGCAUCAACCUGCAUAAAGGAAGAAAUCAAGAAGGAAAUGUACUUGAGAAAUUUUGUAAUACCUGUAGUAAGUAAAUGCAUGCCUCUUGAUAAGAACACAGCGACAUGCUCGCUCUUUUUUUCCCCCUUCUUUUUUUCAAAUGAAAUAUUUCUCUUUCAAAUGUCAAAGUUUCCUAAGUUCUACCUAUUAAUGUGCCAAAAUAAAUUCAUGGCACCCUAUACCUGUGCAUUUUUUGCCGUAAACUGAUAAAUAAAAACCAUAAUGAAAACAAAAUGAGGAUCAGAAGAAAAGGGGGAUUGGGAAUUAAUAACAUGAGGCAAAAGACAUUAUUAGUAGAAAACAAGGUAUGUAUUAUAAAAGAUUGUUUCACUGACCUAGUCCCCGAACUGAAUCAGAUGACACUAUCAUACAUGACUUUCUUUAAUUAGUUCAAAUUAUGUUGGGAUUGUCCCCGAAGAGAAGUGAUACUAAUUUUUUGCAACCCGAAAAUGGUAAAACUUUUAGAUUAUUUACUGCAAAAAGUCUACUUCUAGAUUAAGGUGGUGCAACUUCUGGAUUGGUUCCUGAUCAUAUUAUUGAAUAUAUUGGUGAAAACUACCCGUCUUGUUCUCUGGCAAUGAAUGUAGUAGAUAUUCUGAAUUCCUUAUUCAUCAGACACCAUGGCUGAUAUGACAAAACAUAUGACUUUCCAUUGCAUCAUUGUUACUUUGGACAUUAGGCCCCUUUCUUGCUCUGUUCUUUUAGCAAAUUCACUUCCUUCGUCAACAAUCUCGGGGCAAUCGCCAUGGCCAUGAGCUCUUGAAUUAGAAGCUUACAGGCGUAAGGUAAAUACACCUGAAUGGACGAGGUAAUGAAAUUAACCAAAAAAAACUUUUCAAGGAAAAAUGUCUUGUUUAUAGUAAAAGAUUCAGAAAGAAAAGCUUUUUUACCUGAACAAUAUCAGUUUUAUUCUUGCAACUUCUGCACUCGAAUGAACUCUUCUUGAAACAAGCAAGUGCAAUCAAACCACAGUACUCACAGACAUGAACCCUGUAUGCAUCGCUCUGGUCAAAUAACCUCUCUUUAAGGAAGUGUGCAGCGCCAUGAGCUAUCAUGCAGUCACGUUCCAUCUCCCCAAAUCUUAAACCUCCAUCACGCGAUCUACCCUCAGCCGGCUGCCUAGUGAGAAUUUGAACAGGACCUCGACCACGAGAGUGGAUUUUAUCAUCCACCAUGUGCUUCAAUCUCUGGUAGUAAGUUGGUCCCAUGAAUAUCAGAUCACCCAUUAUGCGACCUGUGUGCCCGUUGUACACUCGCUCAAAGCCCCGCAUUUGAUAUCCACAUUUAUGAAGAGCUUUGCUGAUAUUAUCCACCUGAAAAUGUGGCAUAUAUAUAAGAUUUACAGUUUAAGAAACUAUUGAACUAAAAAUACUACUAUAUCACAUGGCAGCAUGCUUACAUACUUUAGUGCACAAUCAAUCAUAUAAUCAUUGCCUUGUUUAGAAAAUCUUGUUACCUCUCUCCAAAUUAUGACUUCUUACACAAGAUGUGAAAACUUAAUCAUGCUGUACAUCUCAAUCAAUCAUUUUUUCCCUAUUUUAAUGAAACCCAAUUGUCUCAAGACAUGCUAUAUAUACGUACUUCAGUUAUAUGUUAUCAUUAUGAGAAAAGAACUCAAGCAUGGUGUCACAAAGUCCAAAAUUGUCUUGAAUGAAUUCUGUGAUACUUGUUCAAUAUUAUAGAGACCUAUCAAAUUAAGCUUCUAUAUAAUUACCGUGACAUCAGUAAAUGGAGUAGCAUCCCCUUCCUUUCCCAUAUGAGCAGCCACUUUGCCCAUAAUGCAUUCAAUCAGCUGACCAAUGGUCAUGCGAGAGGGAAUGGCAUGUGGGUUCACAAUGAUAUCUGGGCAAAUGCCUUCAAUUGUCCAUGGCAUAUCUUCUUGUGUAUAAGUCAUUCCUACUGUACCCUUUUGUCCAUGCCUACUACUGAAUUUGUCUCCAAUUUGAGGUAUUCGAACUGAUCUCAUCCGAAUUUUAACAAACCUCAAUCCAUCAGCAUUCGUGGUUAAGAGCACCUAUUAGAAAUUAACAAAAAAGAACUAAGGAAAUAUAUAACAAUGAAACACUCGAGCAAGUAGCAAAGAAAACCAAACAGCUUCACCUGAUCCACAAUCCCGCUCUCACUAUGGCGCAGACUUGUACUAUGAUCACGUCGGGUAUACCUCAAGGCGAGCCCUUGGGCUUCUUCUUGAGAAACAGAUGUAGUCUUUCCAAUAAUUACAUCAUCACCUGAGACUCUUGUGCCCUGGAAUAAGUAUGAAGCAGAUGAAGAUCACAACACAUUCACAGUGUUCCAACCUGUAGCGGUAUAUAGUUCUGUAAUGUCAAAUCAUACUCACAGGAGGUGCAAAGCCAUCAUCAUCUAGUUUAUCAUAAGAUCCAUGACGCAUCCCCUGAAGAAAGAAGGGAGAAUGACUAAGAUAAAAGACCGUGUUAAUGAACAGGUAAAAAUGAGCAGCAUUUGGAAAAGUUUCAACCAUCGUAUUUUCCCUGUUUGGACAUCCAAACUCCUCCUUCACAAGUGUUCCCAUCUUUUUCUCCUCAUCCCUAUUGAGAAGAAAUGGAUAGAUUAACGUUAUUUAGAGGAAUUACAAAAAGAUCCAGAGAUGAAUUCACUAUGAAAUUACCUAUAUGAACGGAAGGAAAGAGAGCGAAAAAAUCCACGGUCAAUCGAGGAUUGAUUCAUAAUUACGGAGUCCUCUUGAUUGUAUCCAGAGUAACAGGAAAUGGCAACAAUGGCAUUCUUCAAAAUCAACAGAAAGGAAAGAGUUUAAGUAAUUAGAACCAAAUCCAUUAAAAAAGAAAAGGCAUAAGAGCAAUAAUUCAUGUACAAUUCCAGCAGGCAGUUGCCUAAAAUGCAAAUGCUCCAUUGCUCGAGUAGUAACCAGAGGCUUCUGAGGGUAAUAAAGAACAUACCCCAGUGUAUCCUGUAUAUGAGAAAGCAAGACGAAAAAAUUGAAUAAAAAAUACAGUCUACAAACAAAAUUGUCAAGUUCAUAGAUACUUAAACGAAAAAAUUAUCCAAUAGAAGAGGUUAAAAGAAGCCAAAAAGAGUAAUGUUACCAUUCUUAACUGGUAAUUUGUAACAUAUAUGCCCAUUGCUUGCUUUCCCAUCGCUGAUUGGUAAGUAUUACGAGGGGACUGCAUCAUAUAAUUACUAUGAGAGACAACAAAAGUGGAAAAAGUAAAGAAAAAAGAAAUGUUACUUUGCAUCAACAGAGUUAAUGAAGCAACUCAAGGGAUGAAAAAAGUAACCUGGUUAUGAUCUGGAAAGGGAAUGAUUGAAGCACAAACUCCCAAUAUGAGUGAAGGAUGAAUUUCGCAGUGCGUGUAGGUUUCAGAAUAAGCCUCAUCUGGGUUGAGUCUUGAAUUCAUAAGAUCCUAAGCAUGAUAGUGGGCAAGUCAAAAAAUUGUGGAAUUGAACUAAUCAUGUUGCCAACCAGGAAAAGAAAACUUAUAGAUGUAUAGAUUUUAGAUGAAGAAACUCGUUGAAUAUUUACAUUUAUUGUCAUUGAAAUCAUUGUGGUCUCCUCUUCUUCUGUAUCAACAUACUCAAUGUAUCCUUUUGCAAUGAGAUCAUGCCAACCAAAUUCCUCGGUGUAUUCCUGACAGAAGAAUUAGCAAGCCAGAUAGCAUCUAGGAAUUGGGAUUUGGGUUAAACCCAUCAUGCUACUUACUCUUUGCUGCAAGGCUAGGAUAUCCUUUUUCUUUAUGAGUAAUCUUUGUUUCUCCACAAUGAACAAUGGCCGACUACAGCGACCAUAGUCUGUAUACAGCCGAAGUUCUUUUAAGUGUAUGUCACGGAUAACUCCAACUUCAGUGUUAACAUCAACCUGUAAAUGAAAGGAUAGUUUCCAGUUAACUUAUCUACAUCUACUUAAGCAGAUCUCACCACAUUUGUAUACAAGUUGAAGACAACGUAGAAGUAAUAAGGAUGUCAGACCUGUCUCCUCAAUUGUCUUAAAGUCCUUACUAACAGCUCAGGAUUGCGGUGAAUGCCAACCCAACAACCAUUUACAAAAAUUUUGGUGGCUUGAGGAAUAACCGCGGGAGAAAUUUCCUACACAUUAUGCAAUUCUCAAUGAGCUUAACUACGAAAGCAUGGUAGCAAAUGAUUUUGGCUCUGCAACUAUUGAAGCAUUUCCCACCUCAAAAUUCUCUGUGCUCCAUUCCUCCAAAAACUCUAGAAUAGGAUUUGCUGCUGAUCCUACUGUUAUGUAUACCAUGAGUGCAAGGUUCUUUACUAGUCCACAGGCCUAAUACGACAGAAAUAAGUUCUUAAUUGCUAUGAUUCCAAAAUGUUAGAUAAAGCAUCUUAAGUGGACAAAAAAUUACUUGUCCUUCAGGUGUUUCUGCAGGACACAUCAUUCCCCAGUGAGAGUUAUGCAACUGUCUGGGUUUUGCCAAUUUUCCUAUACACAUCAAUAUGAAAGUAAAAAAUAUGUCUUAUCACAUAAGACGAUUACGAAACAUACUAAGGACCAAAAAGUUUUGAAGAAUAACAUGCUAUAAAAACUUGUACCCUCUCUUCCAAUCGGUGAGUUCAGUCUCCUCAAAUGGGAUAGAGUUGAUGCGUAUGUCAAGCGAUUUAAUACCUAUGCCAUGAUACACAUUAUUUUCUCAAAGAACAAUCAGAAAAAUAGAAGUAGGUGCAACAUCAUGUGUAAAAUUUCCACCUGAGAAACUCCUGCUCUUGUACCAGCUGCAUUUGCUUGCCCCCAGUUCCCAGUAGCAAGAGAGUACUUGAGUCCACUUGUGAUUGUUUUUGCUUUGAUUGCAAAUUGAAGAUUUACAUCCUUUCCAUUAUCAACACACUGGUUCAUAGAUGCAAAGAUAUUCAUUCACAUUACGAGCAAUGCUAUAGAGUGGAGAAAAGUAGAAGCAACAGAACCUUUUGAAUAUAGGAUCUGACAUCCCUUGUUAACUUUCUGAAGAGCUGCACCAUUUUCACAUAAGUUACAGACCAAAAAUUCUUGCAACUUGCCAAUAAUUUGAAAAGUUUAGGCAGCAGACCAUUCGAAAUAAGCCUCCAAGUAAAGGACCAGCAAGGUCCAGCCUCUUGUUAGCAUAGUGAUCCCUAUCAUCUUCAGGUCUUCGGCCAAGGACACAAAGUAAAAGCCGAUGGAUGAUGUAUCUAGUAUUAUGACAAAGGAACAUGUAUUGGUACCCAAUCAUAGGCAUAUAUAUUAGUGUGCCCUCCUUGGAUAUCACAACUUACCCAAAAUAAUAAGCUUUCUUAGUUUCACAGAACUCCCCAGUACCAACAUGUGGAAGCAUUUCCCUCUGGAGGAUUUCUUUGGCAUACCUACAAAGCGAAUGGAAUAGUUUAUCUUAGUUAACAGGAAGUAGUAAAUCUAUAAAGCAAUAACAAGAUUCGCACUUAAUUCUUUUAUCUCGGGUGACUCCCACCGUGGAACCUCUUUUGCCAAUGUAGUCAAGUGCAACCUAAUACCACAAUAAAUCGACAGAUAUAUGAAUGGCAUAUUUAAGAGCAUAAACAAUAAAAGUAAACUGAAUAAGUCGCUCUAGCCAGCACAGCUAGAUGAGAGCACUUCAAUGAUAAAAUAAACCAAAAACUAUGGCAAAAUGACAAAGUACUUGUUGAUUUUGAAUCACAAAUGCCUCUUCUAAGGAAGGCCGAAGUAGUUCCAUCAUUUGCAUGUCAGAAAAAUCAUAACAAAUGUGCUCUAGUAUGUCUUUGUCAGCAACAAAACCUAAUGCUCGAAAGACGAUUAUUAUGGGAAUUUCUGUUCUUAUGUAUGGAAGGGUAGCACGUAUAUACUGCCCUGACGAACCCUGCAUUGCAAUUAUGCCCCUUUCAAUAAAGAAUCAAAGCAAAACAAGGUGAUCAAACUGUGAUAGAUUAAAAUGAUAUGUAAAGAAAUUAUGGUUACCCCUCUGGCACUGGUCCUAGAAAGCAUCCUGACAAACAUGCUACUAGGUGACUUGUUUUGUGAUUCAGCUAUAGACCGAACUUCAGCUACAUAAGCAUAUUUAUUUGGCUGUCUUUUCUUAAACACAUAAACAUGGUUAGUGCUCAUCUUUUCUUGUGCAAUCAGGACCUUUUCACUCCCAUUAAUUAUGAAGUAUCCUCCUUGAUCAAAUGGACACUCUCCAAGCUCAUUUAAAUCUUUCUCCGGUUUCUGAAACAAGCUACAAUAACUUGACCGUAGCAUGAUUGGAACCUGAGAUGUAGAUAAACCCAUUAAACACACGUUCAAUGUAUAAUCCUCUAUUUAUCAAGCAUUUUAUACCUUCCCAAUAAAAACUUUGGUAAACUCCUGAGCCUCAGUAACUUCUUCACAGUCAUGCCCUUUUCUUAUGACUCUUUUCGUAACAUCCACAUAUAGUGGUGAUGAGUAUGUCAAGUUCCUCAGUCUUGCAGCCUUAGGAAAUAAGGUAGCAGUCUCACCAUCUGAUUCUGUCAUCAUCGGCUUACUCAGGUAUAUUUGGCCAAAGCUUAUCCUAUAAACAGUCUGCCAAAAGCACAAAAGUUUGUGAUCAAUCAUAGGAUCAAGGACCAUAUUGUUUGCAUUGUAUAACUUUGACAUUUGAUUUCUAUAAUCAUGAUCUAGUGACAAUUACUACCCCUUGGAACUCACUGUAGAUGCACAGAUAUGCAUGAACAACAGAAAGGGGAGAGAUCGAGGCAAGAAUUCUAAAUAAUGAAACUGCUGCGAAAAGCAUCUGCUACAGGCAAUGCUUAUAGCGUUUCUUCUACUAAUAUUAUUGUAAGCUUUGAUGUUCCUGUUAUAGAAACAAGGAAGGGGAAAAUUUUUGUUUCUACGACAUCCUAUAGUUUGGCUAAUCAUGUCCUUAAAAGGGAAAUGGAAAUUAAAUUUCAAAUCAAAGUUGGGAACCACAAAUUAUAAUACCAACCAUUACAACAGCUUUCACACAUUAUCAUCCUUAAUUAUUUCAAAAAAAAUGGUAUAGUUCAUAGAUGUGACCGGAAGAAAAGAUUUAGAUUUUUCUGUAUUCAAAGAUCCAAUAUAACAUGAGAUUGAACUAGUUACUAUGAUCAUUUUUCCAUCAACAAAAUACAAUUACAUAUUCCAAGUAAACCUAGUUUUUAUAUUUGAGUGUAGCUCUAGAUAGUCGAAAAAAAACACCAAAUAUCUACAUUUAAGUCUUCUAAUCGCUCAAAACAACGUAGAUGCCAACAUAAUAGACGCUAGACACUGACACAAUAAUUAUGCAAGCAUGUACUUUUCCCCGGCCAAUCCUUCAAAACUUAUAGAUUUUUCUUCUUUUUUUUUUUGUAUUUUUAGUUUGAAACUCUACCAAACAAAAUUCCAAUGGAGAAAUCAUGUCCUCCAACUGUCUCAUGUUGCCUAUAACAAAUGUCAACCCAUUACACCAUUAUUAAUGUUCCAACCUAAGCCAUCUCAGUAUUACUUUUCAAUGAUAAAUGCUUGCUUGCUCCCACAAUGAAAUCAUACAAAACGUCAACCAAAAAAAACUAAACACUUAAAUGAGAGUGAUAUUACAAAUUGUAGAAAAAGAAAGAAAGGGAAAAAAUGCACCUCAACAAAAUCAGAUUGUCUGCCGGGGUUAUGCUGACUCUCAGGUCGGAUUUCGAUAUCAGCAGAUUCAUCAACAAUUUCUUGCAUGGUGUUUUGUAUGAACUCGUCGAAUGAAUCCAGCUGUUGUCUAACCAAACCCUUGUCUUCAAAAUAUGCACUGAUCACUGCCCAUGCAUCUUCUUGAGUAAUCUCAUCUGAGUCAUCAAUAUCAUAUUCUUCUUUUCCAUCAUUACUAUUCACAUUUUGAUCAAUAAAUUCAUCGUUUCCGCCAAACAUCUUUUCUUUCAACAAGAAAAAUUAGUCAACGUGCAGAUGUUUUUAUGAGUGUUUUCUUUUUCUUUUGUGUUUUUUAGAUUGUGUUUUCCAUUGGUGAAAUAAUCUUAUUAGUGUCAUCCUCAAUGAUUUCUGUUCAAAGUUAUUACGGAUUUGAUUGUUCCCAAGGAAUAGGGUUCAGUUUUGAAUCCGAGAUAUGGAAUGAGUUACAGUUAGCAAAAGAGAGAGCAUGCCUUUAGAUCCGGGAAACACUGUUUAUGGAAAAAGAAAAAGUUCAGGAAUUGCUAGAUUUAUUAAAGGCCUAUUUUUUGUUUUUUUCAACUUUUCCCUUCUUAUUCUUUAUUUUUUUAUUUUCUGAGAAGGAGUUUUGAUUUAAAUGAAUAUCAAAUAUGAAUGAAGUUAUUUGAUGCUCUAAAAAAUUUUUGUCAAAUUUGAUUUGCCAACCAACUAAAGUUAACUUUUGUGAAAGUUGACUUGGAACCAACUCUUUUAUUUGAUCUUGAAAAUUAUGUUUGAAUUAAAGAACAAUCUCAAUUUGGACUAAUUCAAUAAAAGCUGACAUGAUUUCGACUCAAAAAAACAAUUUAAAGUUUAGAAGUAAUAUUAAGUUUGUUAACAGGAAAAAAAAAAGAAAAAGAAAAAGAGAGGGAUAAUAAUAAGGAAAAAAAAUCGGUCGAAAUAGAAAGGAAAGAAGGAUUAAUGGCCAAAAGAGCGGUAAAGCAUUUUUCUAAUAGAACAAACAAAUAUCAUCAACAAGGUUGCUGAAAAUUCUGUAGCACGAUUUGCUUCACAACAAAAUCUAGCCUUUUUUGAGACAUAGCAUUAAUAUGAAAUAAUAAAUCAUACAAAAAGUUUAAGCGACACAAAAGCAAUUACUGAUAAAGUCUCAAAACGGUAAUUGACAUAGUAUUAGUGGUACAUAAGAUAAGAGUCAAUUGCACGAUUAAAAAUGGCGCAAUGAUAACAGAAAUUGACGUUUUAGAAUUUAGCUUAAGCAUUAAAUAGUAAGCGAUUAAUGCGAAUUUAAAUAAACAAUUAAUGCAAAUUUAAAGGUUAAGGAAUACAGAGAUAUAUAAUGGCCCAAGCAUUAAUGCAUUAUGAACAAAAUUUGUAAUUGUGUUCAGUUUUGUGAAAGUGGCCUUCUUCAUUAGCAACUGGAGAAAUUCAGUUAAUUAUCCAACAAUUAAAAUUAUGACAAAUUCUUAAGUAUCAAAGAAACAGUCUUCGGCAUGCCCAAAACUAAUGCAAUUUGUGGAAUGAGUGAUCAAAGGAGUAAAUCUGAUGUUCUCUAACAGAGAUAUUGCUUACAUGGUCAAUUCAAUUGAUUUUAAGCCAUGCCAAAUUAGGCAUUAAAUACAAAACUCUAAAAUUGUAAAUUGUGGAAGUAAUUUCAUUUCAAAGAAACAUAAGAAACCAUAAAUUGCUAUAAUUGUAUCUCCCCCAAUUAAACGACAACCAAAACCAAUAUCAAAAUUCAAUUUUGUGCUCUAUAAGGCCAUAACCUAACCAAAAGUUUUCAAAUUUUCACCUCAAUUAUAACUGCAAGCAAAUCAACUUACUCGCAUAUAAUUAGGUCAAAAAUUUCUUCAACUCUUGCCAAAAUUGUUAAAAGAGUAUCCUAUGCUCCGAAAGUUAUCAGGCUUAAUCGAGUUUUAAAUAUAUACAUAUCUUUUAUUGUUUGUAAUAAUUUAUUCAUGAAAAACCUUUUUUUAAAAAAAAUUCUAAAUGUCAUUACUUUGUAUUAGUCGAGCUCAAUUAAAGUGAAAUUUAAGCUCGAUAGUGCUCAAACUAAGAUCACCCACUCUUUCACUAACCAUUUCCACUAGAACAACCAGAGAGAUUAAAUAAAGGAAGAAGAGAAGAAAAGAAAGGGAAAAAUAAAAUUGUAACCAAAAGGCCAUUGCUACAUCUGUUUUUGAAACCUAAAAGCUACUCUACAAGAUUUAGUUCCAAACAAAUUGACACUUAUUAAUUUUAUAAAAGGUUCAUAGUUUAGUGGCACGAUUAUUUUUUUUAAUCAAAGUUAUCACUUAAUUAAUAGGAUUGUCAAUGGGGUUGGACCAGCCCGAGCUCGACUCGUUCGACCCGACAAAAAGCCCGAUGAACCAGACAUUUUAGUGAGCCGGUCUGAACUUGAGCCUAAAAAAUAAGCCCGAAUUAAAUAUGAGCCGAGUUUGGACCCUAUUAAGCUCAAACUCGAUAUAGGCCCGGCCUUUUAAUUAUAUAUAUAUAUAUAAUAUUUAUAUUUUGAUGUAUGUAUAAUUAUAUAUCCAAAUAUAUUAUUAUUAAAUAUUAAAUAUAUAUAUAUAUAUUACAAAAUAUAAAAAUACAUCUAAAUACUCUUCCAUGAGAUUUUUUGAGAGCCAAUAUUAGUUAUGCAUAACUGAAUCUGUAACUUUUCUUAUUGGUUGAAUAAAUUUUUGUGUUGGCUUAAUAUUGGUUGAUUUCUUUUUUAUCUACAAACACAAAUCAUCAAGCAUAUUUGGAUUCAAAUCACAAGAUUAUAAAAAAAAAAGUUUAACUUUUAAAGAUGCAUUGGUUUAUGAUCGCAUGUUUUAUUACUAUUUUUCAUGUAUUUUGAACAAAUUAAAUAUAAAUAUUGUUGAAAAAGUUUUGGUUUAUAUACUUUUUAAGAACUAUUAUUUGUUCAUGUUUAGUUUUAAUAUUAUAAUCUUGUAAAUGUUAAAUUAGUUAUACAACUUAAUAGUUAUAGCAAUUAUAUUAAGAAAAUUAAGGAGUAAUAAGUGAAUUUGAGCUAAACCCGAUUAAGAUUCACAACUCGAAUAUUAUGUAAGUUGAAUAUGAGUUUCACAUUUAUGAAUCCGAAACUUAUAACCCGAAAUUCAAAAAUAUUUCAAAUUAAAUGAGUUGAAUUUGAACUUAUGAAAACCUAACUCAUUGGUCCGAUUGACGUGCCUAUUAUUUAACCCCUAAAAAUUCACUCCUCCCCUCACCCUCAGUCAGCAAAUUAUCAAGUACAAUCAUCAAAGGUCGGUGGCUUCCCAUUCUUUUCCUUAUCCUUUCACCCACGAUUCUCACUUUAAAAACGUUUUCACGCACUAAACGCCUCCAUCCACACGCACAUUCACACACACAAAGAAAAGUAGAAAGACCAAACGGUCCCAAACUUUUAAUAUUUUUCUUCGACUACUCUGCUACUUUGCGAACAAGCUAAGCAACCCCCAUCCAAAGCUUAUCUAUUUAUAUCGAAAAAUACCCGACAACUGGAGAAAUCGAUUUAAUUUGUGAUUGCUGAAAUUUGACUAUGGCAUCUGGAUCGGCGGGUCGGCCUAGCAACUCGGGCUCCAAGCCGUUCAAUUUUGUGUCGGAUGAUAUCUUGUGCGGCCCGUAUGAAGAUUAUGGCAAUCAGGAUGGUUCGAAUGGGACUAGCCACUCCGACCCGGCUAUCGGAGCUACUUCGGCUAAGGUUGAUUCUGAUUUUGUUUUGGGUUUGGAUUUAGUUUUGGUUUUAGGGUUUUGGACUGGGUGUUAAGUCUUUGUGUGAGUUUUGGGGUUUUUUGGUAUUUUAUGAGGGAUUCUGUUGUUAGGGUUUGGGGAUUUUUGUGUUUUGAUUGAUAAUCGAUGGUUUAAUUGGCGGAAAAUGGAAUUUUUUUCUUCUUUGUUUUGGAAUCAAGACCUAGACUUUUUGGUUUAUCAGUUCGAUGGUCGUUUUGAUUGAGCAUUUCACGGAUAAAUGGAUGAGAAUUGAUAAUUUGACGUCUGAAACCCGGCUGCUAUGAAAUUCAUAGCUUUCUAGUUAUUUGCUUAAAGAGAUGAGUGUAAACUAUGUCAACAAAAUAUUCGUUUUGCUAAAUGGUAGAACUUUGGUCCAUUGGACAAGCUCUAGUAAAGUUUCUAUUAAGUUCAUCAACUUAGAAUUUAGCAAUCCCUCUUUGGUCCUGCUGCAAUUCUCGGUUAAAUGGUUGGAAUUGCUGGAAAUCUAAGAUAGCGUGCAUUUGAUGUUACUAAAAGUAUUGACUGAUGGAGCUAAUACUUAAAAUAAAUUAGAAGUGUUUGUUCAGUAUUUUUGCUCUUGGUUGUUGCAGAAUAUGGAGUCGCACAAUAUUCAUAAUUUGGUUUUUAUUCGUUUAUUUGUGUUAUGAGAUGCAAAAAAAAAGUCCUCUCAUGUUUUAACACUGUAGUCUUUGUUUUGAGGAUCGUAGUCUUUAGUGUUAGCUCUUAAUUGGUCCUGCUUUUUGUUGCCAUUUUAUUUUUCCCUCCAAGUUUUCGUUUUUUACCUGACCAGUGACCUCAGGUGAAUUCAGUGGGUACCAUCACAUUUUUCAUUGAUGUAAUUUCUCACUGAAAUCUAGCAGUUUAAUAAUAGGAAUUUUGCUUUUUGUUGAGCAGGAGUUCCACAAAAAUAGAAUGGCAAGAUCAUCAGUUUUUCCUGCUGCAUCUUACAAUCCACCAGAAGAAUCUUCGUUUAAUCAAGAUGUGAUUGCGACUGUCGAGAGGACCAUGAAGAAAUAUGCAGACAAUCUCAUGCGUUUUCUUGAGGGUAUUAGUUCACGUCUGUCCCAGCUGGAGUUGUAUUGCUAUAACUUGGAUAAAAGCAUUGCAGAGAUGCGUUCUGAAUUAGGUGGUGAUCACACAGAAGCAGAGACAAAGCUCAAAUCACUUGAGAAACAUCUCCAAGAGGUGUGUUUUCUAGUUUUAUUGCAUAUACUUGGCGUUCAUGAGUGCAGUAAACAGUGCUGUGCUUAAGUUGGUUAUAUGCAGAAUUUGUUGAGAUUGCAGGAGGGAAGAAAUAUUUUGACUGGGUUAUAUAUUAUCUAUCAUAGUUUGUUUUUAGCAGAAGGGGAGACAGACAGGAGAAAGAGAAAUAUUUAAGAAUUAGAUAACGCAAAUAUUUGUUGGUCUCUGCUAACUUUUUUGCUACAAUUUGAAGCUUAAGCUCAAGGACAUUGAGAGAUUUAUUUUUACCUCCGCUGUCUAUGCACUGUUGAGUGGACAAAAAGUGAAUUCAAACGAAGAGGAAAUGUGGUACUAAUCCCCCGCUCAAGCCCUCCAACUUGCCCUAAAAAAUAAAAUAAAAGGAAUAUGUUGGCUUUUCUUAGGAAAUGCAUCAAUAUAUGCAACAUGAAAAGCAGCUUUACCACAGACAUCCAUGUAAUAGGGAUAAUUGAUUUCCAGCCCUCUUAAUGCCUGAAACUACUGACCGAGUACUUGUGGUGCUGUUAUGUACCUAAACUCUUUUAGUGAUUCUUAAGCACUUGUUCUAGCCUAAUAUAUCUGCUUUCUAUUUCCUCAGGACAAGGUUAAGUUAUUUCCUGCAAUUGUAGAAUACCAAAUAACUGAUCUUUGAUUUAGAUUUUUAUUCUGCUACUUUCUUUGGAUUCCUGCUUCUGGCCUGAUUUCCUGGUUGUUUUAGCAUCCCAAAUGAAACAAUGGCUUGAUUUGACCCAUCCUUCUGUAUUCUUGGGGCAGGUACAUAGGUCAGUUCAAAUCCUAAGAGAUAAACAGGAGCUUGCUGAAGCUCAGAAGGAACUAGCCAAGCUUCACCUUGCUCAGAAAGAAUCUUCGUCGGCAAGCAAUUUGCCACAGAAGGAGGAGAGAGUUAGUGCGCCAGCUUCUGAUGCUAAAAAGAGUGAGAAUUCAUCAGAUUCGCAUGGCCAGCAAUUAGCACUUGCACUUCCCCAUCAGGUCCCACAGCCACAGCAGCAGCAGCCGCCUCCAGUGGCACCCCCACCUCCAAUGCCAUCUCAAAGUGUGCCACAGGCACAGGCUUAUUAUUUACCACCACAUCAGCUGCCAAAUGUCCCUGCUGCGGCCUCCCAACCAUCUCAGGGUCAAUAUCUCCCACCUGAUUCACAUUAUAGAGCUCCCCAAUUGCAAGAUGUUUCUAGGGUGGCACCACAGCCAGCCCAGUCUCAAGUAAAUCAGGCACCACAGGUACAGACUAUACCUUCAUACCAGCCCCAGUGGCCCCAGCAGUUACCUCAGCAGGUUCAGCCACUGCCACAGCAAUCUGUGCAGCCUCAGAUUAGACCUUCAUCUCCUCCUGUUUACUCCUCUUAUUUACCUAAUCAAGCAAAUCCUCCUCCUCCAGAGGCAUUGCCUAACAGCAUGCCAAUGCAAGUACCGUUUUCUGGAAUUUCACAACCAGGUCCUGUCCGUGCAGAAACAGUUCCUUAUGGGUAUGGUGGGGCUGCAAGGCCGGUUCAACCACAACCUCAGCCCCAGCAUCUCAAGGCUACUUAUGCCUCUCCAGCUGAUGGGUAUGCAGCUAGCGGGCCACAUCCAACACUUUCACCUGGUAACACGUAUGUAAUGUAUGAUGAAGCAGGAAGACCACAUCAUCCAGCUCAACAGCCUCACUUUCCACAGAGUCCUUAUCCUCCUACUACAAUGCCUCCCCAGAACUUACAGCCUAACACAGGCUCAAAUCUAGUUGUUCGUCCCCCACAGUUUGUUCGCAACCAUCCUUACGGUGAUUUGAUUGAGAAAGUGGUGAGCAUGGGUUACAGGGGGGAUCAUGUUGUGAGUGCCAUACAAAGGCUAGAGGAGAGCGGCCAGCCUGUUGAUUUUAAUGCCGUGCUGGACAGAUUGAAUGGACACUCUGCUGGGGGUCCUCAGAGGGGAUGGUCUGGGUAAGCACGUAACCCAACCCCUCCAGUUGCAGCUAUGCUGACAACUGAGUAGCUUCCAUCUUGCUUUUAAUAAAGGAUCAUGUCAUUCCGACAAUGCUACAAGUAUGUAUAGGGAUCGAAGAGGUGCGUUGUAUUUGUUUGUCAUCUCUUUACUGACCUUUUUUUUUAAAGUGGUGGUAAUGUAUCACGCUUGCAGUAUUAUUGCAAUGGGAAACACUCGUUUGGAAACUCCUUGUUUUAGAUCCCUUUUUAAUGUUUUUUUUUUUGGGUGCCUGCGUUCGUUCCUUCUCUUUAUCCUGGGUAUACGGAAACUGAAGGCCCAAAACAAGUUGUUACAGUAAUGGAUUCGAGGGAAUGUUCCCAAAUAAAUUACAUUAUUAAUAAUUCUUCUCCGUCUCAAUAUGAUUACUCCAAUGUUGAAUCUUGUGGCGCUGGAAUCAUAAUUAUGCUUACUGUUUCUCAUGAUGAUCUUGUUCGGCAUCCCUCUUUGUGUCGAUUUCUCCUCCUGCUAUGCUAUCUCGAAGGCUUCUUUAGCGUUUCUUUCUUCUGUUCCAGAAUGGGCCUCAUGAGCAAUUGAAUGUGCAACUUCGCUGUCAAUUCUCCGUACCAAUUUUUCUUUAGCUUCUACGGUCAAGUCAUAACUUGCAAGUAAAGCUCGGAUGUUUCUAAUCAACGGUAAAACGAUCGUUUGUCUUUUAAAAUGGCGAAUCCCUCAAAGUCUACGAAGUUAGGAAGCUGAAUAGGACGUGGACUUUCUACUGCAUCAGUUGUACAGGUCUUUGUCUAUACGCGGAGUUAAAGUCAAAAACGCUUGCAACUUGAUAUACCACUCAUCAACCAACCAAACAGGGCAUUGUAGAUACUACUCCUAGGUGUUUUUCACACCCCCAUCAUCCUGAUAUACCGAUUAUCAACUAAAGAAACUUGUAUCAAGCUUUUUCUUAAUCUUAAUUAGCAAGUUAAUUGAGGAUGCAUUUGAUUACCACUUGCCUCAUCUUUUAUUGAACAAGUCCAUCGGAUAAACCUUCCCUUUUAAAUAAAACUGAAAAUCCCGGUGUAAAUGGAAGAAUGAAACGCGCAUUUGAUCAAAGCAUAUGUGUAACGUAAGAGGAAUGAAUGAUUUGGUCUGAUCUGAAAUUGUCGGAUCACACGGUUUGCAUGACUUCUUCGUGUCUGCCCCCUUUGACUUAACAAUUUUUUCAGUCAUUAUACGUAUGUGACGAAACUCUAUUAUGUUAUCUGCAAAUGUUACAAUUUGAGCUUUUACAAACCUUUUUUUUUUUUGUUGAGAUUUUACAAAGUAUCUUCUCUUUAUAUGCAAAAUCAACUAAUAUGAUAUGAUAUGUGCCCAUCUCAUCUGUCCCAUUCCUAUCCUGGCUGGUAAAACGGCUAGAUGAUGAUGCCUGUAGCAUGUUGUUGGCCCAGGCAUCAAUUCUGGAGUCUCCCCACUAGUACGUCCUUUUCAACAAUUUCUUGGAUUUCAUGAAAAUUAACAAAUGAAAUUUCAUAGUCAUUAUCCUUUGAUUUUGCAUCAAAUUUGAAAUUAACGCAUUUGACAAAUUGUUACUAAAAUAACUGUAACGAGUAAAUGUCCAAAAAUGCACAUGUGAGGAGGAUCUUUUCAAGUUUUUCUGUGCGGGAAUCUUUAAUAUUCUAUUUGGGGAAGUUUUAGGGAUCCUAAUAAGUUAAGGAAGAUUUUGGACCUGUUUGGCAAAUAAAUUUUUGGCCAAAUUUCUUUUCUACAAGUUUUUUUAACAGCUUUUAGUUAUAGUAACCUCAAAAAAUUCUUCAAAAAUUUUAAACUAUACAUUUUAAAAUAUUCAAUAACUUAUACACUUCAAAAAAAUUUUCUACAACUUUUACAGUAAGCUGCAACAAAAUUUUAAAUAAAUAUUCAAAAAACUUAUUUAUCAAACGGGGCCUUUGUUGUAAAUAUGAAAAAUCUUACAGGUCUAUUCCUCUUCAUGUAUGUGUGCGUAACAACCAAUGGCUCAACUUGGCUCUGCAGCCAACAGAUCCCCUCUAAUUUUUUUUUUAUUAUUAUUAUUUUUUUUUUGCCUCGACAGAUCCCCUCUAAUUAACUCAUAUUGUUCCUUUUGAAGUGAAGCCUUCCAAAAUCUGUCCUGAAAAGAUAACGAUUGAGUCGAAAAUUUACGCUUUACCAUGUUGAAUGACUAGUCAGUCACAGCCCUAGGUAGGCAACCUCCCGAAAGAAAAUGUACUGACUUUGGCAACCUAACUAGUUGUGGGGGAUUUAGGACUCUUCAGGCUGUUACUUUGAUUGACUAAUCAGUCUUAGCCAUCUAGGUUGGCAACCUCCCAAGUACAAUGCACUUGCUAAUGCCAGCCACCUAACUAGACUAUUGAGGCAUUUGGAAUUCUUCAUGGCAAUUUAAUUGAACCCUGUCCAAGUAUAAUUAACUUUCUCUUGAUGUUUGAUGGAAUUUAUAGAGUUAUCCUACAAUUUGGAUAAAGGUCAACGUCGAGCAGACUUUAGAAGUUUGGUUCCCAUUUGAAUUGCUCAAUUGCUAUUUUUUGAAGUUUUUUUUUUAAAAAAUAUAUAUUAUAGCGAUUUAAUGUAUAUGAAAUUUGAAGUGCUGAAUCGUUAUUUUUUUAAGUUUUUGUAGAAAAAAUAUUUUGUAAAGAUUUAAUGUGUAUAAAAUAAAAAAAUAAUUAAAAAAUACACACAUGGAAAAUCUAAAAACUCUUAGAUAGAAAAUUGCAAUCCAAACACCAAAUCUAUCUAGGAAAACUCAUGAUAUGAGACUAACAACUUUGUUGGAAGUCUCGUGUCUCGAGACUAGCAACCUUGUUGGGAAGACAUUUAUCAAUUAAAAUUACUAUUUCAAAUGCGCUCCUUUUGUCUCGUUAAUGAGGAGUAUAAUCAAUUUUUUUUCUAAAAUAUCAUAAUUUCAUUAAAAUUUGCACUAAUGGUAAAAUUUACACAGAUAUUAAAGAACAGAUCUGAAGAAAAAAUACUCCAAAUCUGAAAAAUAAUAAAAAUUACAUUAUAAAGCUCCAAAUUUAAAAAAUGAGAUAAAAUAAUUGUAACUCCAUGCCAUCUGUGCAUGGUUCUAAUCGUCAGAUCUACUAAUUAAUUGCUUUAAAUUCAGAUAUUAUGGUGAGAUCUAUCGAAUAGAUCCAAAAAAUUUCUAGAUCUGAUAGUCAAAAUCUAAAAAAAAAGCCUCAGAUCUAAUAAAAAAAUAAAAAAAAAAUUAUCAAGACUCAAAUCUAAGGAAUAUAAUCAAAUUUGUAAUAGAAUUAGCUCAUAUGCCCUAGGCAUAAUCCAAGAUGAGGAACUUUUGAUUUCUCAGUGUCCAAGUACACUGAUUAUACAGUUCUAUCAGGCAUUUGCUCGUAACUGUUCAGUUUUGGCGAUCAAUAAAAAUCACUUACCCUUUUUGGAAAAAAAAAAAAGACAACGUAGCGUAGGCGUUACUGGGUAAGGGCAUAGUCCGGACAGGCAAUUCAAUGCAAGUCGCUGUGCAUGGAUGCGACAUUAGGAAUAUGGUGCAGAAAACAGAAGGGUCUCCGUCCAUAUCGAAGUACAAUAUUAACUGUUGGAAAUUGACAUGCAGCAGCAGAGGAAAGGCAUAUACAACAGGAGGCAAGAAAGUGGUCAUCCACAAUAGCCAUAACAUUCAUUCCACUAUUUGUAAUUUGUAUAAAGUUAUUUGUUAUUCAUUUUGUUUGGACAGUGAAUUUAUCUCAAAUAAUAUUUCGCUUGCAUCAUAAACACAUUUUUUAAUUCACCUUUUUAUAUUCCCAACCACAUUUUUAUCUCACAUACAUCAUAUCACAAAAAAUACUACAGUAAUUAUUCUAAAUAAUAUUUCAAAUAAUACCCUAUUCAAACAAAUGUUUUUAAUUUUUUUUUAUCUCACAUACAUAUCAUGCCAUAAAAAGUGCUACAUUGUUAUUUUAAUUUUUAAAAUAAUCUUCUAUCCAAUCCAUUUAUACUUCAUUGUUGCUUACUUUUAGGCUUUUAACAUUUGUUUUCUGGAUUUUGGGGGGGGGGGGGUUCUUGCUUUUUCACCGUAGUCUUCUUGAUAUCAAUCUUAAACUUUGUCUUUGAUCUUAUACUGUGGCAUUGGUGCUUUCAAUUUUUUCCUUUACAAAAAAUUUGCUCUUUUGUAUAUAUUUUUUUUCCUUUUAUUCAUAACUAUGUUAACUUGGUGGUAGUUCAGUCAUUUUGAUUUUCUUUUAAUUGGGUUUGGAUGCAAUUAAUGACAGGGAUUUAAUGGUUGUUUGGCAAAAAACCGCAAAACCACAAGGGAAGGAUAUAAAUUAAUUGGUAGUGCAUUAAUGUUAAUGUUAUUUGAUAACGAAUUUUAGUAUUUAACAGAUGAUGUCUUUAAUUUUGGAAAAAAUCUGAUAAGGAAAUAAUUUUCCAAAUAACAAAAAAGACCAUUUCAAAUAAACCAACAAAGGUUGAGUGAAUGUUUGGCCUAGCUGUUUGUAAGUCAACUUCAUCUCUUCUUUUUCUUUCUUUUUUAUUUGGUUAUCUUUUUUUUUUUUUUGGUCUAACAUGAGUUUAGAUAUCUAAGGCCCCGUUUGGAUUGCAUUUUUCAUUAUUUUUUAUGGAAAAAGUACUGCAGCGAUCUGAUGUAUGUGAGGAAAAAAGAUAAUAGAGAAAUGUGAUCACAAAAAAUGACGUAAUUUUUCGGCGGAAAACGGCAAUCCAAACAAGGCUUAAUAAUUCUUUUUCAUAAAUCUAGGAACAAAAGGUAUGGCUAACUUUGUGCUAUUAUUUUUCUUCUUCUUUUUUUUUUUUUUUGUUUAAAAGAUGCAUAAUACUGUCAAGGUUCCUCAACUUUCUUAUUUUUAUACUUAUAUAGCUUUACCCAAAAGAAAAGGACCAUUAUGAAGUUGGAACUUUUUAUCCACCAUAAAUAACAAAUUGAAAGGAAAAGCACAAUUCAAUUUGGGAGAAGACAUAGAAUAAUAAAUUUUCAAGAUUUGUAAAAAAUAAUAAUAAUAAAUUCAAUAAAAAUCGAUAAAACUAGCAAAUCAUAUAUGAUUUUCUAAUUCACUUAAUUAAACAAAAUUGUAUACACUUUCUUUACUAGGUUUAUUUUCAGGAAAAAGGUUAGGUAUGUCAUUCAGGUUGCGAAUCCCUUAAAUAUAGCUUUCCAAAAUAUAAAAUAAUUAGCGCAUUCAUUAAGCAUGUUACUUCUUGUCCAUAUUAACCAGUGGCCGUUGGGCACCAAUGGACAACAGUUAGAAAAUCAAUAAAAAAAAAUAAGAAAAGAAAAGGAAAAGAUGACUUUGAUAAAGCCAUUCUUAUUUAUUAAGCCAAUAAGAAAGUGCAUGGAAUGGGGUGACACCAGUGCUUUCUAAUCCAUAACUUUACACUAUUUAGAAGUUGACAAAGUGUAUUAGUGGUUUUAAUUAGAAUCGGUAUUAGGUCCAUUGCAUCCUAAAGAAAGACUGCAUCGAUCUAAACUCAAAUCUUUGAUUAAUUUAAGCUCCGAUUUGAACACGCCACCUUAUAAAAACCAUUUGGCAAAGUGUGCUUGACACGGGGCAGCGGAAUCUACGCGUUGGCUUGGCCCCAACCAAAGACAAAGGCAUCAAAAUGUCCUUAAAAGAAUAGUCUACUUGUCAAUUCCUUUCUAAAGAAGCCUGUUUCUUAAUGGACAAGUGCUUUUUGUCUGAAAAGAUGGAUUUUGACCCUCAUCUUGUUUCUUUUUCUCCAUUUUCUGGUGGUGUCACAACAAGUAUAUAUAUUGGAAGAGAAGGGAAUUAUGACAAUUUUUGGAUCAAAUUUUUCUAAAUAAUAUUUUGUCUACAUCAUAAAUACAUUUCCUAACCUACAUUUUUAUAUUCUUAACCACCUUAUUAUCUCACAUAUAUCACAUCACAAAAAAUACUAUAAUAAUUAUUUCAAAUAAUAUUUCAAAUAAUAUUCUAUCCAAACAAACAUUGAUUUCACUUUUCCCGUCAUUUGGUGGAGGUUUCGAAGUUCAGAUUUUUCUUGGCUUUUUUUUUUGGGGUUUCUAAUUGUCAUUUUACUCCUUUUGUUUUUCUCAUUGUCUUGAAAAUUAACAUGUAUCAUUACGUAAUCAUAAAAAGAAAAAAGCCCUUCUUUAAGCACUAUAAGUACUUAUAGAGUGUUUAGUAACUAAUUUCUCUUAACUUAAAAAAUCCAACUUUUGGUAAUUAAAAAAAAAAAAAACUUAUAUUAAAAGUAUUGUAUCAGAAGUGUUUCUUUAUAAACCACAACAAUCCCAAACGAAGUCUAAGGCAGAAAAUGACUAACAUAUAAUUGUCAUUUAAAUCAAAUUGAGUUAUGCAUAGCAUAAGUCUGAUUUUCUGUAACAUGAUAUAAUUCCUUUGAGCGUGUAACUACUUAAAAGCUGUGAAACUAGUCUUAGAAUAAUUUAAGAAAUGAGUCGAUUAUGUAUUUGUCUGAAACAGUGUAGUUAAUGAGCAGAUUUACCUUCAUUGAAUAUGCAUAAUCAGAGUUUGAUCCCAUAUCUACAACUGCAAACAAAUACAGAGCAUUUUGUUUGACCAAAAAAAAAAAAAAACAAAUACAGAGCAAAAGUUUAAAUGACCAACCUAAGGAAAAAAGAACAAGGUAGCAUCAUUGGUCCAUGCUCCAUUCAAGCUGUCUCAAACACCCCACUUAUGUUGCCGUGGAUUUUGAAUAGAAAAAGAAAAUAAUAAUUACCCGAUAUCCACAAGUACAGGUCCUCCAUAAAUCAAUGCACAGGAUAAACUAAAAAUUUUCCGUAAAAGCUUGUUUUGGUAAUUUUUCCUGUUUCAUUCAUAGUGGAUAGUGACCCUUACGAAUAGGAAACUAAAAUAAAGGGGAAGAUCCCAAUUGCAACCCCUAUUCCCUCAAAACUACGAUCUUGGAUUGAAAGUUUUAAAGAUUUAUGAAUUCCCUGCAUAAAAAUCAUCAUCAAAAUGAUGAAAAUUAAAAUUCCCUUUAUAGUUUGACAAUGGUAAAAUUCUAUUCAUGAACGAGACGUUAGUCUGGUGACUAAAAUUAAAGAUUUUAAGGUAUAGAAAUCAUGAAUUAUAUUCCUUUGUUCCCAUUUCGUAAAUCUCACACUUUCUCUAUGUAAAAUAUUUAAAUAAUCCUACCUUCCCAAAAUUCAACAGAAAAAGUAGGCACUUUUUUUUUCUUCAAAAAAAAAAGAAAACUGUCCUUAGCUUAAUGAAAAAGAUAAGAAGAAAACACGCACCUCCCAAAAAAAAAAAAAAAAAAAAAACUUCUGUUGUCUGAAUUGAGAAGUUGUCCAAGCUGACCGUUAGACAAACCACAUGCAAAAUGCGCAGAGAUUGCCUCAUUGCCAGCGUUUGCCCAUAUCCAUGUUCCCACCAAUUUUUUUUUUUUCAUUUUGCGCUAAUGCCAAGUCUUUGUGCAACUCUCGCAGCACAAAGUACAACAAAUCUUUCACAAUCCCUACUUAUCACACGGAAUAUAAAAUAAAUUACCAUCUUAAUCAAUCACAAAUCUUCAUUUCUACAAGUAUUCAAAAAUUUCAAAAUCCAAAUCUAAAACUAAACGUAUAAAAACCCCAAAUGGGUCCCCCUCCUCGCCCCGUACAAAAUCUUCCACGCUCUCACGCGCCCCCCUGCAUUGCUCUGUCACUAUCCACCCCACAACAUCUCUCUCCAGUCUCCCCUGUUCAUUUUUCCCCAUCUUUUCUUCUCGUUCCCUGCCCCCAUAAACCCCUCCAAUUUUCUAAUCCCCCAAAAAAGAUUCUAAAAAAAAAAAAAAUAGCCCAUCUGAAAUCUGAGAUCUCCGGCCACCCAUGAUAUAAUGGGCCACCGUCAACGGCAGCCACCACCGCUUCAAACGGGUCCGCCACCACCUUACCGGCAAAACCCGGGUCCUCAAUAUCCAACCCGUCAACCCCAGAGCAACCCUCCACCCUCAUCACAACAACACAGAGCUGAAGAGGACGAUGUUUAUAAUAUAAUCCCCGUCCAUAAUCUUCUCGCGGACCACCCAUCUCUCCGGUAUCCGGAAGUUCGCGCUGCUGCAGCUGCUUUACGAGCCGUUGGUGACCUCCGGCGACCCCCGUUUUCGCCGUGGCUUCCUCACUACGAUUUGUUGGAUUGGUUGGCUUUGUUUUUCGGGUUUCAAGCUUCAAAUGUGAAGAACCAGAGAGAGCACCUGGUUCUGCAUUUGUCCAAUGCUCAGAUGCGGCUUACUCCGCCGCCGGAUAAUAUUGAUUCGCUUGACCCUUCAGUUCUCCGGCGGUUCCGGAAGCAACUCUUGAAGAAUUACUCCAGCUGGUGCUCCUUUCUCCGGUUGAAGUCUAAUGUGUGGAUUUCUGAUUCGACUCGUCACGCCUCUGAUCCCCGGCGGGAGCUGCUGUAUGUCUCGCUUUACUUGCUCAUAUGGGGUGAGUCUGCGAAUUUACGGUUUGCUCCUGAGUGUUUAUGUUUUAUAUUUCAUAAUAUGGCUAUGGAAUUGAAUAAAAUUUUGGAAGGUUAUACUGAUGAGAAUACUGGGAGUCCCUUUUUGCCUUCGAUUUCGGGGGAAAAUGCAUUUUUGAAUCGGAUUGUUAAGCCCAUUUAUGAGGCGAUUAAGGCUGAGGUCGAGAAUAGUAGGAAUGGGACGGCCCCACAUUCUGCUUGGAGGAAUUACGACGAUAUUAAUGAGUAUUUCUGGAGUAGGAGGUGUUUAGAGAAGUUGAAAUGGCCUAUGGAUACUGGGAGUACAUUUUUCGUGACCACAAAUAAGGGGAAGAAGGUGGGGAAGACGGGCUUUGUGGAGCAGAGGUCGUUCUGGAACCUGUUUAGGAGCUUUGACAAGCUUUGGAUCAUGUUGAUUUUGUUCCUUCAGGCGGCCAUAAUUGUGGCUUGGGAGCAGAGGCAGUAUCCAUGGCAGGCGCUAGAAAGGCGGCCAGUGCAAGUCAAAGUGUUGACCGUGUUCUUUACUUGGAGUGGUCUGAGAUUCUUGCAGUCUUUGCUCGAUUUCGGAAUGCAGUAUAGUCUGGUUUCGAGGGAGACUAAGAUGCUUGGCGUGAGGAUGGUGUUGAAGAGCGUGGUGUCAGCUGGGUGGAUUGUGGUUUUUGGGGCAUUUUAUGCAAGAAUUUGGUCACAAAGGAAUGCUGAUCGGGGGUGGUCUGCAGCAACAAAUAGGAGGAUUGUGAAUUUCCUUGAGGUCGCUUUGGUGUUUAUUGUUCCAGAGAUUUUGGCUUUGGCUCUGUUUAUAUUGCCCUGGAUCCGAAAUUUCCUCGAGAAUACUAAUUGGAGGAUAUUUUAUAUGCUGUCCUGGUGGUUCCAGAGUCGGACAUUUGUGGGUAGGGGUCUGAGGGAAGGGCUGGUUGACAAUAUAAAGUAUACUUUCUUCUGGGUUGUGGUACUUGCCACAAAGUUUGCCUUCAGUUACUUCAUGCAGAUCAAACCUAUGAUUGUUCCGACGAAGGCUUUGUUGGACCUAAAAAAUGUUAACUAUGAGUGGCACGAGUUUUUCAGCAGAAGUAACAGGUUUGCAGUUGGCCUGAUUUGGCUUCCUGUGGUUGUGAUUUACUUCAUGGAUAUUCAGAUCUGGUAUUCAAUCUACUCUGCAAUUGUUGGUGUGGGAGUUGGCUUAUUUGAGCACUUGGGUGAGAUUCGGAAUAUGCAACAGUUACGUUUGAGGUUUCAGUUCUUUGCUAGCGCAAUUCAAUUCAAUUUGAUGCCUGAAGAGCAGCUACUGCAUGCUAGGGGUUCAUUGAAAAGUAAGUUCAGGGAUGCCAUCAAUCGAUUGAAGCUGCGCUAUGGUUUUGGCCGGCCCUUUAAGAAGCUUGAGUCCAAUCAGGUGGAGGCAAAUAAGUUUGCCUUGAUAUGGAAUGAGAUUAUCUUGAUAUUCAGGGAGGAAGACAUCAUUAGUGAUCAUGAGGUUGAGUUGUUGGAACUGCCACAGAAUACCUGGAAUGUGCGGGUGAUCCGUUGGCCAUGUUUACUGCUUUGUAAUGAGCUCCUUCUUGCUCUUAGCCAGGCUAAGGAACUGGUGGAUGCCCCUGACAAAUGGCUUUGGUUCAAGGUAUCCAAGAAUGAGUACAGGCGUUGUGCCAUCAUUGAAUCUUAUGACAGUGUCAAGCACUUCCUCUUGGAGAUUGUCAAACGCAACAGUGAGGAGCAUUCCAUCAUCAGGACCUUCUUUCAAGAAAUUGACGAGUGGGUUCAGAUGGAGAAGUUCACAAAACAGUACAAGAUGACUGCACUGCCGAAGAUUCAUGAUAAGCUUGUCAAACUUCUUGAUUUAGUGCUCAAGCCAAAGACAGAUGUUAAUAAAGUUGUCAAUGCUUUACAAGCUCUCUAUGAGACUGCUAUUCGAGAUUUUCUCAAAGAGCAGAGGAGUCCUGAUCAACUGAGGGAAGAUGGUUUGGCUCCACAGAGGCCAGCUUCCAGUUCUGGACUGCUUUUUGAGAAUUCAGUUGAGUUACCUGGUCAAGAUAAUGAGAUAUUCUAUCGCCAGGCACGUCGCUUGUACACGAUUCUCACAUCUCAUGAUUCAAUGCUCAAAGUUCCAGCAAAUCUUGAGGCAAGACGUCGAAUUGCAUUCUUUAGCAACUCAUUAUUUAUGAAUAUGCCCCACGCUCCCCAGGUUGAGAAAAUGAUGGCUUUCAGUGUUUUGACUCCCUACUACAACGAAGAAGUGCUAUACAGCAAGGAACAACUUCGUACUGAGAAUGAAGAUGGGAUCUCAACGCUCUAUUAUCUGCAGACAAUUUAUUCUGAUGAUUGGAAGAAUUUCUUGGAGAGGAUGAAGCGAGAAGGAAUGGUGGAUGAGAAAGAACUAUGGACAAGGAAGAUAAGAGAUCUUCGCCUUUGGGCAUCGUACAGAGGCCAGACGCUUGCCCGUACUGUGAGAGGAAUGAUGUAUUAUUAUCGGGCACUUAAAAUGCUGGCCUUUCUAGAUUCUGCCUCAGAGAUGGACAUCAGGGAAGGAGCCCGUGAACUUGGUUCCAUGAGACGUAAUGAUAGCAUGGAUCAUUACAGCUCUGAAAUGUCGCCCUCUGGGAGAAGCUUGAGUAGAACAAGUAGCUCAGUGAAUUUAUUAUUCAAAGGCCAUGAGUAUGGGACUGCUUUGAUGAAGUUCACUUAUGUUGUAGCAUGUCAGAUAUAUGGGUCUCAGAAGGCCAAAAAAGAUCCCCAUGCAGAUGAUAUCCUGUACUUGAUGCAAAAUAACGAAGCACUUCGGGUUGCUUAUGUGGAUGAGGUAACUGUUGGGAGGGAUGAGAAGGCCUAUUACUCAGUUCUUGUGAAGUAUGACCUGCAGUUGCAAAAAGAAGUUGAGAUCUAUCGAGUCCAGUUGCCUGGUCCCUUGAAGCUUGGAGAGGGAAAGCCAGAGAACCAGAACCAUGCCUUCAUCUUCACUAGGGGAGAUGCCGUUCAAACUAUAGACAUGAACCAAGAUAACUAUUUUGAGGAGGCACUUAAAAUGAGGAACCUAUUGGAGGAAUUCAGACACCGCUAUGGUAUUAGAAAGCCUACUAUUCUUGGAGUUCGUGAACAUAUUUUCACUGGCUCUGUCUCAUCACUUGCAUGGUUUAUGUCCGCCCAGGAGAUGAGUUUUGUAACAUUGGGCCAGCGUGUGUUGGCUAAUCCUUUGAAAAUCCGAAUGCAUUACGGCCACCCUGAUGUGUUUGAUAGGUUUUGGUUUUUAACACGAGGUGGCAUAAGCAAAGCUUCAAGAGUUAUCAACAUCAGUGAGGAUAUCUUUGCUGGCUUCAACUGCACUUUGCGAGGUGGUAAUGUCACUCACCAUGAGUACAUUCAAGUUGGCAAGGGAAGAGAUGUUGGCUUAAAUCAAGUCUCAAUGUUUGAAGCAAAGGUUGCUAGUGGGAAUGGCGAGCAAGUUCUGAGCAGAGAUGUGUAUAGAUUGGGUCAUAGGCUGGAUUUCUUCAGGAUGCUUUCAUUCUUCUAUUCUACUGUUGGAUUCUUUUUCAAUACAAUGAUGAUUGUCCUAACCGUUUAUGCAUUUUUGUGGGGCCGGCUGUAUUUGGCACUUAGUGGAGUAGAGGGUUCUGCUACUAGUGAAACCAACAAUAAUAGAGCACUUGCUGCAAUCUUGAACCAACAGUUCAUCAUCCAACUUGGUAUCUUCACCGCCUUACCAAUGAUUGUGGAGAAUUCUCUUGAGCAUGGUUUCCUUAACGCUGUUUGGGAAUUCAUAACAAUGCAGCUUCAGCUUUCAUCUGUAUUCUACACAUUUUCCAUGGGAACUCGUGCCCAUUAUUUUGGACGAACUAUUCUCCAUGGUGGCGCAAAAUACCGGGCAACAGGGCGUGGUUUUGUGGUUCAGCAUAAGAGCUUUGCUGAAAACUAUAGAUUGUAUGCACGUAGCCACUUUGUGAAGGCAAUUGAGCUGGGACUAAUACUCACUGUUUAUGCUUCAUACAGCCCUAUAGCCAAGGGAACUCUUGUUUAUAUAUUACUGACUAUCUCAAGUUGGUUCCUGGUGGUGUCCUGGUUAUUGGCACCGUUUAUGUUCAAUCCUUUGGGAUUUGAUUGGUUAAAGACCGUUUAUGAUUUUGAUGAUUUUAUGAAUUGGAUUUGGUACAGAGGUGGUGUGUUUGCAAAAGCCGAACAAAGCUGGGAACAGUGGUGGUACGAGGAACAGGAUCAUUUGAGGAUGACUGGUCUUUGGGGGAAAGUGCUGGAAAUAAUUUUGGACCUGCGCUUCUUCUUUUUCCAGUAUGGCAUUGUAUAUCAGCUGGGUAUUGCUGCUGGAAGUAAGAGCAUUCUGGUUUACUUGCUUUCCUGGAUCUUUGUGGCGGUGGCUCUUGGACUUUAUCUGAUUGUAGUGUAUGCUCGGGACAAAUACUCUGCCAAGGAGCAUAUCUACUAUCGUCUGGUUCAGUUCCUUGUUGUUAUUCUGGUCAUUGUUGUGAUCAUUGCAUUGCUGGAAUUUACACAUUUCAAAUUUGGUGAUCUGUUCAUAAGCUUGUUAGCUUUUGUUCCUACUGGUUGGGGAUUCAUUUUGAUAGCCCAAGUUCUAAGACCCUUCUUGCAAAAAACCAUGAUCUGGGACAUAGUUGUAUCUGUUGCCCGCUUGUAUGAUAUCAUGUUUGCUGUGAUUGUCUUGGCUCCAGUAGCAGUUUUGUCAUGGUUGCCUGGUUUCCAGUCAAUGCAGACAAGGAUUUUGUUCAAUGAAGCAUUUAGUAGGGGUCUGCAGAUAUUCCAGAUCAUAACAGGGAAAAAACCAAAGGGUGACGUGUAAUUUGAGGUAAUGUUUCCCUUUAAUAUUGUUGUCUUCAAGUGUCUUGUCUCUAUUCGUUGUCGUGUGGCCCAUAUCAAUGUCAUUCUUUGGGUUUACACAACUUGAUUGCUUACCCUAGUCUCAAAGUCUGUCCUUCCUGAUUAUAUUACUAGCGUAGUAUGACUUCUGUUCUUUGGCAUUGCGAGUUUCAACUGACUUCAGAUAUUUAUUCUUUUGCAGAUGUUGGCAUUAGGCCAUGUAUUACGACCAUAUGGUGGCUUUGCUGUUGUCUUGGAGUUUCUGCACAAAAUGUGACAUUGUAUCUCAAGUUGCUUCUCACUAUGGUAUAUUUAAUCUUACUUUUUUUGUCUUUGCCCUAUUUGUUUUGCCCAAUAUUGUAUCCUUGCUCCCAUCAUAGGAUUUAGUUGCUAGUAGCUUUUUUGGAGAAAUAUGACAUAAUUGUAUCCUAGCGGGAAGUUCAAUCUGUCCUACUUUGUUUAGUUCUCAUAAUUUCUCCAAUAGUCAUUGUAAAUAGUCAUGCUGUUCAAUAAAAUUGGAUUUUUGCUAUUUUUUUUUAGCUUAUUUUGAAUUUUGGGAUCCUCCGCAUGCAUGCCCACCUAGCUGGUUUAAUACAACUAGACUUGGUCCUCCUCUACGUGAUGAUGGCUAGAAAAAGAGAUUUAUAAAACAUAAUAAUAGUUUUUCUGGAUAGCGCCCUGUCUUUUGUCACAAUUGCUGUGGUCAAACAAGGGGGAUGCGGCUGAGUGAUUUAUUUGGUUUUGUCAGUUGUCUCUCCAGACUUUGAGGGCAGAGAAUUGGGCUACACUUUCUGUAGCAUCAUUACAAAACAAGCCUACUGCAGUAGGCAGUAGACGGUUGUCCAACUGGAUCACCUGAGCUCUGGGUUUGUUCGGGGGCUCUGCAUAUGGGGCAUAAUUUACUUAGAAUUUGUGAAACCUUAACAUGGAUGCUCUAUUCUUUCUGCAUUACUUACUUUAGUAGAAGUUAUCAUGUUUCCCAAAAGCUACUCUGACCUUCGGGAUUAUGGAUAUUAUAGUUUAUUCUCAGUUAUAAACAUGUUUGUUCUGCAUAAUAAUCCAUUUGGUGUUCUCCCUGUGGUUUGCUCAUCCAGUUCAUAUAUAAUGUUCUUACAGCAUCUCUACAGCUUAUAGUAAUACUUGUCUGUCACACAAGAUCUUCAGGUGUUUAUUGUAGUCUCUCUGAAACAAAUAAUAUGCCGCACCUUUGGCUGUUUUGCCAUGGUUUGUAUAUUUGGUCUUUGGUAAUGAGUUGCUGCUUCCUUGAUCCAUUGAAAGAUCAAGUUAAGUCCUCCUUAAACCAACCAUGUUUCAGAAACACAUCCACGGGUUAAAUAUAGAUGAUCUAUCCUUUUGACUUGCUACCUUGCAUAAUCGAUUGUCUACUUAAUCAUAAUCCAGCUAUAACGCUUCCUAUCUGUCUCCCAAACCUUUUAAGAUUUCAUUCGUCUAGUCCAGAGGCAGGUUAGAACUUAUUCUUUUUUCCAAAAGAAGGAACAAGCAUAUAUAAUUUUUUCAGUGCCUGGAAUGCGUGUUACAAACAUGGAAGGGACCACGUAGAGAGAUGGAUUAUGAGGUUUCUGAAUCUAGAGUUGAGAUAGAAGUGAUAAUUUGGUUCUUCCUAUCUAAUUCCUCAUUUGAAACUAUCCUUGUCGCCCUGCAAUCAAUGCUUGUUUAUACAUGACCUUGAACUCCCAUAUGAUGUUAUUGGUUGUCUUUGUGCAGGUUUAGAGUCAGACUGAAGCUUAGGUACCGUACAGGACUUGACACCCUAGCUUUGUUUUCUAUUUGUAGAGCUUCUUGUGUGCAUUGUAGCAGCAGUUUUACUAUAACGCGUCUGUUGAUUCCAGUGUUGGAGGGGCAGAGGCACUAACUGGUUUUUCAUCAAUGCUAGAUUUCAUCUAUUGUUGUAAUUACUUAGUUUUUUCCGCGCAAAUUUCUAGUGCCCAGAUGGGGAACUUGUCAUUCAUUUUUAAUACCCCAGGAUUCAUAGUGUGCAGAGCUUACUUAAGCAUAUAAUUUGGUUGUUACACAAAUAGAUUGUCAAACAACAUAGAAAUUAGCAUUUGAAUUCAUGAGUUGUUGCAGUAUAAACAUCGUUUAAAUUGACUUCCAUUCAAUUGAAUACACCUAAUUUUCAUCACUUCUACAGAAAACUUUCAUGAUCUUAUCUUUCGGUCCCAUGUUUUACGCUUCACCAAUGCCUAUUACUGCUCCUUAUCAAUACUCAAACCUGCGAGUGGACUAAUAACAUCCACAUGGCAUAUUUUUGGCCCCUAGAGACCGCUCUAGCUGAACACCAAAGGUCUGGAGUACCAGGAAAGUUCUAUUCAUGCAGACUCCGGAUUGUUCAUGGGCACCUGAUAUUUGGCACCAAUUUCUUGCACUACACUUUUGGGGGCCAAUUGUGUUUGCUACUUCUUAAAAAUGAUACAUUUUAUUUGAACCAAUAACUUAGUAUGGAUUUUAAGUAAACAUAAUUCCAACAAGUAAAUAUGAAUGUAGGCUUACUUUUAUGGUACGUUUUAUUUGAACCAAUAACAAAUCUUCCCCCUGCGUUUCUUUUUCUCUUUCAUUUUCUUUUUUAAGGCCAUUUCAUUAAAAAUAUAUUUGCAUGGGGGUGCCUCUAAAUUAUCUGCUUGGACAAUAUUAAGUCGGAAUAGUAAGAUCCAACCCAAUAUAUUUCCUCUAAUAAGAAGUUUUUAUGUACCCAAGUACCCAACCAAUUGCUAGGAAUCCGAUGGAAAGUAUGUUGCCAAAUUUCUUCUUUAGGCUCAAUUUGGGAUUAGGUUCUUGUGGUUUAAUAACCACUAAAGUUGAUCCAGUUGCCAAAAGAGGGCUCCUAGAAUUCAAAUCUUAAAUCUUGAAUCUAAUAGUUUGGGGUUGAGAAAGUUAUGAGGAGGGAAGAGAGAGUAAAAGACAACAAUUUUUUUUAAAAAAAUGUCACGGUCAAAUUUAAUUAGCAUACUUGAAAUGAUAUUUACUUUAGAUUGUUAAAAUCGAGGGAACUGUCAGCUGGCAAUCCACAUUUUAUUAAUGAUACUUUUACUAUCAUUUUUAUUAUAUAAUUUUCAUUUAUUAGAUCAUAUGACAAAUUGUGAAAAUAUCAUUAAAACAAUGAAGUGCCAUUAACAUUUCUCAAAAUCAAUACUUAAUUUCAGCCGAAGCGCAUAAUAUAUUUCAAACCCCCUCCAUCAAGAGUUAAGAUCUUUGACAUCACUUUUCUAAAAUUGUUUCCAAAUAAUAUUCUAUGUAUAUUGACUGAUUCAAUAUUUGCAUUUCCAAUUUAGUCUUUUUCAAUUUUUAUGCUUAUUUCUUUAUUUUCCUUUAUCACGGGUCAAAACUAUAGCUUCUAUAAACUGAAGAAGUAGCUACCUUUUUCCUUUUUUUUUUUUUGCAAUAAAAUCCUUUUAUCGAUGGGCGGAUUAAUCCACUUAUAAAUUAAAACAAUUUAUGGAAGUUAUAAAUAUUCGGUUAAAGGGCUCAACUAACAAUAAUGUUGAUUUCUCAAGUUUUUUGUGGGAGCAGCCAAUUACUGAUAUAUUUUGGAAGGUCUACUUAGAACUAACACUACAAAAGAAAAAAUUGUCAUGAUUAACCAAAAUUAUUGUCCUUCUGCAUUUGCUAUUCAGUCUUUUUCUUUUGGCAGGAAGUCAAGAAAAGAAGUUGACCCCAAAUAAGAUAAAGCACAUGAAAGCAAAAUUGCCUUAUUUGCAAGUCAAGCAUGUACACUUCAUUUUCAGCACUUGCCUUCGAAAAUUUCCAAUGUUCCGUCAGCAUCAAUGAUCACAGCUCAUAAGGGCCAAAUUUAAGACUCCACCGCUGCCCAUGGCCCAAUACCGGUCAUUGUUCACUCCAAGGUCGUCCAAUACCAUCCACGUGUUCUGAAAUAAUCCGUAUUACCAAUUCAUUGGGCCCACGUGAACUUGAUGUGAUAUUCCAUUUCUUUUCGGAUUUAGAUCAGAUCCUAUAGCUGGCGCUAGAUUUCGGCUCAUUUUUUCGAAUCAGUUGUUUGAAAGUUUCUACGCGUUCACAUUUUCUUUUCUUUUUUUAAAAGUCCAAUUUGUUCACUAAUAAAAGUCAUCAAUUUAAUAAUAAUUGUUUCAUUGACUUUCUGGCACCCAAUAAUUGUUUUUAUCUUGUAAUUUAUUUUCAUAACUAAAUUCGAAUUCUGGGAGAUCAUAUGGUUUGUGGAACUUCAAGAAUGGGGUCUAUUAUGAAUUUAAAUCUAAUUUUUAUAGAAGGAUUUAAAUCUACAAUUUUCUCUUUUGAUUUGGAUCUUUUGAUGCAUUGAUGACUUGCAUUAUUAGUAUCUACGACUCUAGGGUUGUAAUCGAGUCGAGUUAAGUUCGAGCAUGGCGAAGGAUACUCGAGCUCGAAUUCGAAAUCGAGCAAGUAGUAUUAUUAGAAUUUGAACUCAAGUUCGAUGCAUUGCUCGUAGAACUUGAGUUUGACUCGCAUGGAUUCGAGUCAAUGAGAGCUUUAUCGAACACGAGUCAGAAAAUUUUAUUUUCUUAACAAUUUUGAAUGGAAAGACAUUAUCGCCCUUUAAAAAAUUUCAUACGACCUGAAACAUUUCGUAAAUUCAACCACUCUUUUGAGCAUAAAGGUAAUUUCAUAAUAAUAAAUAUAUUAAAUAAUUAAAAAUAAAAAGCUUGAUAAGGCUCAACGAACCUUCGAACAUUGUUUUUGCGACUUGCUUGGCUUAUCGAGAUAUUCGAACUCGUGAUCAGUUCGAUUUGAUUACAGCCUUAUAUGACUCAAGUAUUAAUGACGAUUGGAUAUAAUAAACAGGGUCAUACUAAGAACUGAAUUCAAGAAGAAAUAGUAUUGAAUUUGUAUAAACUAAAAUCUCCUUUAAAAAGGGAAUAUGUAUAAACUCCUGAAUAGCUUCUCUCAUGGGUUCUGUGAUAGCUCGUAAAAUAUUAAGAAGAAACAGUAUGGAAUUUAAGAAGACAAUAGCACAAGAACUGAAACAUCAAAUCGUGCUGAACCAUUUUUAGUUAGUUUAUUAAUAAUAUUGGUCUCUAUUUUGCUAAAGCAAAAAACUGAAACAUCAAGAAUAAUUCGAGAACAUUUGCUAGAUAGUUGUUUAAAUUGAUAAAGCUUGUAGCCACCAAUUUAUUAAUCACAACUUAUAUUUAGAAAUUACUCAUUAGAAAAUUGCUAUUUAUAAAAUAAUAAAAAUUAAAAUUUUUUGUAUUGCUAUCUUCUGUAUAAAAAAUAUUAUAUUAAUUUGACGUAAAAAAGUAAUUGAGAAAUAUAUUAAAAAAAUAAAAUUUUCGAGAGUUAAUGGCAAUAGGACUUUGCCCCUGCAGUCUGGACAAGAGAUGUGUGCAGAUUGGCGGACCGUCAGGGUGUCCGGUCCCAGCAUUAAUGAAAAUGCAUCAAUAACCAUUUCCACCAUGCCAGCCCCACAAGGCCGCAUUGCCGACAGAAUCGUAAUUACCCCACAUGGAACUCUGAAGAAUUUAUCAAAUCAAAUCCAUUUUGAAAAACCUCCAGAAGGACCAGCCGACCAGGACCCUGAACUAAUCGACAUCAACUGCUUCAUAUUUUUCCCACGUAUUCAGCACUUCCCAUUUUGACACUGACUUGAUUUAUGCCACUUUAUACCAGACCCUACUACUAACAAAGACACACGUUACACUUUCUUUAGCAGUAAUUCUUGCCUUCUUCUGCAAAUGCAUAACGACCUUUCUGAUAUUUCGGUUAUCAAAUGAGGAAAGAGUAUAUUUUACAGUUAAAGGUUGCUUUUUUGAGCUACUAGUUGGUAAAAAUCAAGACAAGAAAACAACAAAAGGGGAAAAAAAAAAAAGGAGCGACCCUUUUCUCAGUUUGCUGAGACAAUGGAGGAAGCUUUGUUGGGAGGAGAAAGUAGUGGAACCCAUUCAAGUGCUUGGGGGAGAAUUCGAAAAGGGGGUUUUAGUAGGAGAUCAGAUGCAAUUGCUUAUGGAUCAACUUAUCAGAAAGCUGCUGCUUUGGUUGAUCUUGUGUGUUAUCCUCACUUUUUAUUACACUUACCGUGUUUUAUCUGUUUAUUUGGGAAUUCUUGGCUUGGAUUUUGUGUAGAUAGUCUGUUAUCUUAAAAGAUUCGUGCUAGUUUGUAAUAUUGGUGCUAGUAAAUGUUCUAUAAAACUUCUCAAAAAAAGGACCUGCAUGAGCUGAAUGGGUCCUUACUUCUUAUAGUGAAGUGGUUUUUUCGGUUGUAUGUGAAAAGAACAUGACUUUUCCAUUUGAAAACUGAAGGAAUUGUUGAAAAAGAUUAAUUAGGAUAAGACUACAGUUAGUUACACAUCAUGAAAAUUCUAAAGAUUCCGAGGUCUAUGAUUAUUCCCUAUUAGUACCUAUCUCCCUUUCUGGUUGGUUUUAAGUAUCAUGAUUUGUUGUAAAGGUACGAUCUUUUCAGUCAUUUACUGAAUUUGGUUGUGUAGACAGACGAAUAGAAUUACAAAUUGAUUAUCAUCAAGCACUUGAGUUAGCUAGCCUAGUAAUGGAACAUUCACUUUUUUCCUCUUGUUGAUAGGAAGGGCGUAAUUCAGCAUGCUUGUGUUGGUUUGGAAUUUGGUGAAUAAGAAACUAAAGCCUUCUUACCCUAUCUCUUGUUUCUAUAUUUACACCAACAGAGAAGCAAGGGAGUCUGUAUACUAUUUAAGAUUUUGAAUGCAAAAGAAAACAUGGAUGGAGAAAGAAACAUGGUCCACAUCUCUUUUAGCAUUUGGAAAAUGAAAAUUUGACUACAAAUAGGAUAAAGUAUGAUCAGUGUUCUUGUUUUCAAUCUGCGAUGUGACCAAUGAAGCCAUAGUCCUAUCAAUACUCAACUAGAAGUGGUCUGCAAACGUGAACAAAAUUUUUCCUGAGUCAAAAAGAGGCCUGGUACUUAUUACACUCACAUUUCCACUGUGUUGUUCAUGCAUUAGCGUUGCAUGUGGAAGAUGGAUGUUGACUUUUGGUUACCCUUCAGGUGCUUGUUGAAAACUUGAGGAUUGGAGUCAUUUCUUCUUUAUCUUCUUUGUGCAGUUUCUCUUGGUAAUACUAGAACUAAAAAUCUAGCCAAAUGUGUUAAUGUAGAGAGCUGACAUGUCACUGUUGGAUUGCUUUUUAGAUAAUUAGAUCUGCAAUUGAAUUCUCUUCUUUGAUCUUGGUCCUUCCCCAGCCUUGAAAAUUCUGUAGAACUAAAUCGGUAUGCUUCUGGAACUUCUAGUGGAACAGAUGAGGGGAAAUUUAAACAAUCAGUUUCUUUGUCAUUAUCUUGCUUCUUUCCAAUUAUUUGUUAUGGUUUACUUGUAUAAAUGUGUAAGACCAGUCCACACUAGUAUCUCUAGUAAUCAUUUUUAUAGACUUGUAAUUUAUUAUCAGACGGUUUUCUCAAUCUUUUGUUUCAACUUUCAAUUGGUACCUUUAAACUUAUUUGCAGUUUGAAUCAUUUGCAUUUGCAGGCUGAGGACGGCAUUGGACUACCUGAGGAAGUUCUUGAUGAAUCAAGCUUUGCAAAUGCUGCAAAAUAUUACUUCACAUUCAUUAAAUUUGAUUUCCUUUGGACCCUUAACUAUUUUGCUUUGAUUAUAUUAAACUUUCUUGAGGUAGGUGGUCCCCACCUAGCUUCUUGUUUGACCCAACUUAUGCAGAAGCUCCUUUACUGUAUUAUAGAAAUUCUAAUUAUGCUCUGUUCAUUUGCUGAACCACAUUUUUUCUGGCUGGUGUUUAAAUUGUUUUAGAAACCAUUGUGGUGUUCCAAGUAUUCUGUACAUACUUGCAGUGACAGAGAGUACUUCUUCCUAGGACAACUACCAUUCUUAACUUCUACUGAGUCUCUUAUAUAUGAGGUAAGGUCCAUAUCUGUGGCUGAGUUUUUUUUCAGUUUUUUUUGUUUGCUCGGUUACUUUCCUUGGGAAACUUUGAUUCCUUUACUUAUUACUACUACUUUGGAGAUAGCUUGAUGUUUAGCUUCCCCUGCAUUUUUGAAUGUUUAUAACUCUUGAAUUUUCUUUUUAGAAUUUGUUUCUUCUGUCAUUAUUAUGAUAAUUACCUUUUGUUAUCCCUCCCCUUUACAGGGUGUGACUCUCCUAAUUCUCGUUGUACAUAUCUUGUUCCCCCUAUCAUAUGAGGGGUUGGCUAUUUACUGGAAACGUCUGCUUAACCAACUGAAGGUACUUGGUCUCUGAAUUUGGUUUAUUAAGUCCCUACAAACCUCUAUUGAUUUCUUUUGUUUCUUUGGAUCCCAAAUAUUUUUCAUUGUGAUGUGAAAAGGGACAGAAUAUGGGGAUCAAGGAAGUUUUAAGAUGCAAAAUAAGUCCUGGUCCAACAGCAGUACAUCACUUCUCAGAUUGAGGCCUCUGUUAACCUUCGAGAUUGGGCAACAAACAAGUCAUUAAUACUCAAAGUAAUAAUCAUUAUUUCUUCUUGUUAAAUAAGUCCAAAAUGUAAUUAUUCUUCACAGAAAAAAUUUAAGGUUGUUAUAUGAAAGUGACAAGUCCUUUAAGUAUGAAACUUAGGUAAUGGAGAUUUGACGAUGACAGCCAGAACUUGAUUGCUUAUGCAUUAGGCCCUACUAGUUGGUUAUGUAGCAUCAGCAUGUCUUUUUGUUAAAGAGGCAAACCCACUUAGACAUCCUAUGUGAUCUGGGUAACACGAACUGAGUUAAAUUGUAUAUGGUGCCCAAUAACUGGUAAUAUACGUUAAAAUGGGUCGCAGAUCCACAUUGUUUAAGUUAGGCCUUGAACUGUAGACCUGGGCAUAUCUAGGUUUAUCUUGACUCUUUCCAACCAGCUACCUGAGUGGCUUUCAACCCACCAUGACGUGGCUGCCCUACUUGAUCUCCUUGUUAGCUUGGCAGUGUCUUCUUUCUGUAUGUCAAGGCGAGUCUGAUGUACUUCAAAGGCUAGAAAAGGCGCUCCAUUGAUACUGGUUUUUUGCGCCAUGAAUUGCAGUUAGUGAUGUCGUUGCCAAUUCUUUAGAACUUGUAUAAAUGUUCCUGCUUUCUUGAUUUUUCAUAUGAAUAGGUGACACUGUAUGACAAAUCAACCAUAUAGGCAGAAUUGCAUAGGCUGUUGGGCCAUUUUUAUACAGAAUAAUUUGGGGAUGGUUCUGAAAUUGAUUUUUUAAUGGAAUCAAUGAAAUACUAUACACGUUAGGUUGUGAGGCAACUGAAAAUAUUCAAUGGCAUUGACUAAUAGUCAUUUCUUUCUCACUGAUUUUUCAGGUCCUUUUGCUGCUCAUUAUGGUUGCUGAUAUCUUAGUCUAUGUUCUAUCUCUCUCUCCAGUGGCCUUCAACUCUCUUCCAUUCAGGAUUGCACCCUAUGUCAGGGUUGUGUUUUUCAUUCUAAGCAUUAGGUAUGAAAAGUUCAUUUUUACCUCAUUCCCCAAUUAUAAGUAUCACCUCCUGUCCUGCUAUUGUUCUUGGCAAGAGAUCAAGUAUAAAGGUUUGAUCUUUUUAUGGAGAUCUAAAUAUUUCUUGAAUCUUGUAGAAAUGUAAUUCUAGAUGGAUGUAGGCCAUUAACAAUAGCAAUUAUGGAGAAAAGGUCUUAGGUUCUAAAUUCUUUUCAAGAAACUUAUAUAAGAAAAAAAGGGAAAAAAGGACUUAAAAGUAAUGUCCAUGUCUUCUGCUGGUAAAACAGACUUGUAAAAUCAGAGCAGAUUGCUGGUUCUUUGGCUUUUGAAAGUUUUUUGGUGAAUGGCUAUCAAGGUUGAAAUCCAAGGAUAAUAGCAGCCAUGUAAUUUUAUCGCAGAAUCAUUGGUUUGAUUUUUCGUGUUCCACAAAUAUGUUGUAAUUGCACAUAAUUAGUUUUUUUCCCCAUUUAGUAUCUUUCUUGAGUCUGUUAAAUGAAUUCUGAUUUACCAAAUUGGAUGGUUUCUUUUCAAUACAAGGGACUUGUGCAACAGCAUCGUUAUACUAGCUGGAAUGCUGGGCACGUAUCUCAAUGUCCUGGUGUGUUUUCCUCUCUAUCAUUUGUUAAUCUUGUUUUUGUAUGUUUUUGGAGAGAACUUAAAAAAUAUUUCAAGUUGUUACAUGACUGUCUUAGUGAUGAAACUCUUCUGUUAUCCAACAUUAUCUAAUGCUUGUUCUUUUCCUUUUCUCCUCUUUCAUUAAACAAUGUCUAUUUUCAGGCUUUAUCGCUUUUAUUUCUGCUAUUCUCUAGCUGGAUAGCAUUUGUCAUCUUUGAAGACACCGAACAGGGGAACACUGUAUUUACCUCCUAUGGCAUGACACUCUACCAAAUGUUUGUUUUAUUUACCACAUCCAACAAUCCAGAUGUCUGGAUUCCUGCAUACAAGUAAGUUACAUCACAAAUUGUACUUUGAUGUCUAUCGUUCAUUACAAUUGGAAGUUAACUGUGCAAUUAUUUUACAUCUGGUGGAGUUCUGUUGUCCACCUCUUGUGGUUUUGCUAAAUGCAUUGAAUGAUUGAUAAUAUUCUAAUUUCAUCAUCCUAGUUCCAGUAUGUCCAUGUAUACAUAAACAUACAGAUCAAGGAAAGGAGAUUAAGCUUCCAUGAAAUGACACUCUAUAUAGAACAGAUUUCUGAACUUGUUACAAUAACUGAUCUUUCAUGGUUAUUAAUCCUUUCGUUUUAUUAAUGUUUAACAUAGCGCUAACGAAACUUCUCUGUCUUAUAAUUUCUUUAGGGCCUCCCGUUGGUAUUGCCUUUUUUUUGUUCUUUUUGUGCUUCUCGGUGUUUACUUCGUCACCAAUUUGAUCCUUGCCGUUGUUUACGAUAGCUUUAAAAAUGAGGUAUAGGUUUCUUUUGUGCUUUAUUCUUUCCAUUUUUUUAAUGAAUGGUUAUAUAGCUCUUUGUCUGAGUUAUUCCUUGCGAAUUCUAAACUUUGUGUGGCAUCUCUUUCCAUCCUCACGAAAGAUCGCAUUUGAGAAUUUUUCUUCAGAUGUGACUAUUUUUACCACAUUUAGUGCUACAUCUAACUUGUUCUUAGCAUAAAUAAUUUGUGUUUUUCAACUUUUAAAUAAGUUCAAAUAAAAGGUAGCCAUAAAAACAGUAAUUUUGUUUAUUUUAUUAUUUCUAUUGCUGGUUACAGUUUCUUGUCCCACUAUUUGAGGGUUAAUACUCAUUCAUAUGUGUUUCCUUCUUUCUUUCACCUUCUCAUGGUACAUAGCUUGUAAAACAAGUGGCUGAAAAGGAUCGUUUGAGGAUAAGAACACUGAGCAAAGCUUUUACUCUGGCUGAUACCUAUGUGAGUAUGAUUCCUGCUUUUGUCUUGUGAGUCAUUGCUGCACAACUGUAUGCCUAAUGCUCCUGUGCUUCAUCUUUCCAUCUUCUUCCCUUUUUCCAAUUACAAAAUGAUAGAGCCCGUCAUGUCCUCACAAAACAUGCAUGUAUGAUAUUCUGCCCAAACUUUGAAUUGGACAUACCAUCUGCUAUGUCCUAAAGUAACUUAGCAGUUUUUGCAAUUUGCAGUAAACUUUGAGUUCUCUAAUACCAUGUUUUUAAAGUCAAAGACUGUUAAGUAGAUUAUGCAGAACAAAAAGAUGAAAUCUUAUUAAAGCAACAGGCAAGGGCUUCUAUCAGCUAUAUCUGCUAUCUUUACCUGUCCAUUCACAAAAUUGGGGCUUUGACAAGCAUUAAGUACUUCCGACUGGAAUGCGAGCAUGUCGCUGACAGUUUACAAUGUACUAACCUCUAGUUUCAUAUUUCUCUGACUGCAUGAUGCUGUGGUCUCCUCUCCCUCUUUAUGGUGCUCUCUGUGGAAUGUGAAGCUGUGGACUUUGUUCUGUUGGAAAAGAUAUGUGGGUUUUGGACAUGAUCUGGGGGGUUUAAGAAAUGGCAUAUUAGUUGUCAGCUUAGGACACUAUUCAAGAAUGAACAGUAAAAACAAGGAUGCAAUAGCAAGAUGAAAUGGAUUUAAGAAGUAAAACAAUAAACACUGCUGACACGGCAAGCUGCAGCCGGACAGGAGCCACGAGCAUUUGUUUCCUCUGUUCAUAAUAUUGUCUGUGACUCUUUUCUAGUAUUUUUUCCUUUUUGGCUUGUUACCAUUUUAACAUUUUCUUUUAUUGUGCACAGAAUCUUGGAUUCCUUGACAAAGAUCAGUGCAUCCGACUGUUUGAAGAGCUGAACAAAUACAGGUGUAUUUUUCCUACCAUCUUCAACUCAUCAUAUAUAAAAACUUUCCCACUUUGAGACGGAAUGAUUAUAGAGAUUGAGAUCAAGCUAGGCUUGUUUAAUACAAAUUAACCAUGCUUGGACAUGCUGAUUUACCUGUUUAAAGAUCAAUCAAGAGCUGAUCAGCCAAGCAACUAAAAACACUUCCUUAAACAAAACAUCAAUUGAGAUUUAGUUCAAAGUUAAUUAACACCAACUCUGAGUCACGGCAGCAGUGAAUAGGGUAGUGAAGUGAGGAAGAAAAAUUACCAGAGGCUACCAUGUGCAGACCGCUAGUCGGCCUGUGGUGGGUGUGGUUGGCUGCCAGCUGGUGGUUGGAAGAGAGUGUUGGUGGUGAUAGAUGGUGGUCAUAGGGAAUGGUGGCAGUGGUUGUGAUUGGAAAGAAACUGCAGUCUUCUGAAAUAAUCAGCAGAGUGGGGAAAUGAGGGAAGUAGUAGUUACCCUCUGUAUGGUGAAAAGAUUUUUAUGCCUAUGUUUGCAUACUAGGCUCAUGUUUGUACUUUUAUUUAGUGUUCACUCGUUGACUUGAACAUACAAGCCAAGCUGAGCUUUGUUCACAAAGUGAUUGGAUCCUUAGCAGCUACAACCACAUAUAUAAUACUGACCUCCUGCUGAAAUUUUAGAACUUGAUGUGUAAUUUUUUUUGUUCAAAAAAUUCUUAACUGUGAAGAUUAAAAAAGAUAUCUUACCUAGAAGCAAUCUUUAGAUCCGUAGUCAUGAUGUCUACGAACAGCAGUAGUGAGGCAUGGUUCAUCUUAAUUUUUUGGUGAACAUUGUGUUAUACUGAUUUUAUAGCGAUGAAUGCUCGUCUGAAAUUUAGUGAGUCACAUAAACUAGCUGAUAAACCAGAAUUCCACAAAAAUAGUGCAUGUGAGAUGCAGUUACAAAGAUUGUUUAAAGAGUGAUGUGAUGGGGAGCUUGAAUGAGAUGCAUAAAAGGUAGGUUGUGUCAUUCUAUUCCAAAAAAGUGGCUCAAGCAUGAGAUGGUGCUCUUCUUUAGGCGGCUAUUGGAACUAGGAAGCAGAUUGUGUACUGCUAACAACCAGAACACAGCUAUAAAUUAAGUUGGAAAUGUAUUUAAUUCAGAUUUUGUGCAUGGCUCUAUUUCAAGGUUGAAGUAUAAAGCUUUUAUACAUGUCACGUUUAUGUAAAAGCUCUUUCAUGCAUUCUUGUCCUAACCACCCACAAGCUCUCCUACACCCCCCCCCCCCACCUGGAAAAAAAAAAGGAAUCCUGCUUUUUAAAAAUCUCAUAUUUUCUCUAAAGAUUGAACAUUAACUAUUGUCUAUUAAAUGAUUUUUCCUUAAAAUAUUUUGUGGGAUUAUAUGGUUUGUAACUUACUAUUGGUUUAUUGUUCCAUAAUCAUUUCUUUGUCUUGAUUAUAUUGACGAUGCAUUUACUAAUCCUUUUGGCAUUAAUUUAGUUUCAUACCAUUCUUGAUUUUCAUGUGUUCAGAACAUUACCAAAGAUAUCCAAGGAAGAUUUCGAACUAAUAUUUGAUGAGUUGGAUGAUAGUCAUGACUUCAAGGUAUUUUGUAUAUUCUUAAGUUGUUUGUUGGAGUAAGUUGGUGUUGUUGUUGACAUGCCUAUUAUCUAAUGGUUUUAAUAAUCAGAAAUCUAUCAAUUAGAGGAAAUAUUCAAAAUUUUCUGAUCAUCUUAUCUUUGAUGCUUUUACAAUUUUCCAAGUUUCUGACAAUAUAUGUAAUUGUUUUUGGGUGGGUUAGAGCACAAGAGUUGCUGUCAGUGCUUCUUUUUGCACCAAUCAGUAAAACUUUUGUCAUCAAUUGACACCAUCAUUUUGUUAUUCAUCAUUGAACAUGUAUAUGAUAGUACUUUUCAUUCCCAUAUCCGUUUCUCCUUCUGGAUGUGUCCAGAGGCUAGGGUUUUGCUUUCAAGGAUUUAUGGCCUUCAUAGCUGUGUGUGAAAGUGACAAACAGUGUUUUGAUCGUGAUACUGAAUGUAAAUGUUGUCUGUUGCACUCUUUCUUCCUCGUGCAGAUUAAUUUGAACGAAUUUGCUGAUCUUUGCAAUGCCAUAGCACUGAGAUUUCAAAAGGAGAAUUCAGUUAGUUCACUUUCUUUGAACUAGGCUAUAACUGUCUCUUCCUGCUUCCCAUUGCUUUGCUCUGAUUCUUUUAUUCCUUGCUUUCUCUUCACAGGAACCGAUCUUUGAAAAAUGUCCAUCAAUCUAUCAUUCGCCAGUUUCUGAGAGAUUGAAGAACUUUGUUCGAAGCCCUACAUUUGGAUAUAUCGUAGCAUUCAUUCUUGUCUUGAAUCUUGUUGCUGUCAUUAUUGAGACAACGGUAAAGCUCAAAGAUGCAGUUUGGAUUGUGUUUACCAACGUAAUUGUCAUGCAUGAUUAAAUGAAGUCAUUGUCAACAGACCCUGUCAUGGUUGUAUGCUCGAAGCAAAACCUUAAAGCUGAAUAAAUUCAUGCCAUUUUAAUGCUAGAAUAUCAUAUAAAUAUCCGGAAUAUUUAGGGACUUUUGAUUCAUUUCAGGGUAGCUAUUUUAGGGAGUUCACAUUUGUUGCAAGUGGGUUCGAUUUCAAUUCUAAUAUACUGAUCUGAGGAAAAAUUAGAAAAAGAAAAGAGCUUAGGGUUUGUAGCUGAAGCAUUGUUCUUUCCUUUUCUGUUCCUGGUAUUUGAAGAUUCUUCUAUUUCUGCAUUUCAUUCGAAUCGUUGCAGUCAAACUUUCUAGGUUAAGCAGACUUUUUGGCUUAGGGCUGUAUCUGAUUUUGUUUUGUACAGUUGGAGAAAAAGAAGAUAAAGAAUCAUAAAGUUCACUGAUAUGCAAAGGCUUGUUUAUUUCAGAGAGGGAGGGAUAUUGUAGAACUUUGAAGCAUGAAUAUGGAAAACAAACAGUAUAUUUAAUAUGAUUUGAUAGAAGACAGUUUAUAGUGGUCUCAAAGUGAGGAAGUGGCAAUAAGUAUCUCAACGUUUGUCUAGACUAUCCUGGCUCCUAUUCCAGUAGUUACAAUUGGUUAGCAUCAGCUUGACAAAGUCCUAUUUGCUGGGUUGAAGUGGUUUAUGUUGCAGUAUUUGUCAUAACAUGCCUUAACUACAAUUUUUUUCUGUCAUUAUGCGUAUGUAUUCCUUAUCCACUCAUUUCCUGUGAAUUUGAUGAAGUCAAGGAGAAUUAGGAUACAGGAUCUUUCAAGUAGAGAAAUUUCAUCAAUUUUCCUUCUUUUGAGGCUUUAUCCUUUUACUGGUGAAAGUCAUUAUAAGUGUUACUCUUAAUCUCACUUUAUAAUCCAAUGGGAAUGAGAUCACUUACCUAGGAUUGAGCAAUUGAAGGGACCUUUUCACCAUCCACCUCUAUUAAUCGUCCCAGCACUUGGCACAUCUCAAAGCUGCAAUGUGAACAAGUUUGGAAUGCUGGAAAAGUGGAGCUUACAUACCAAUUCAACCUUAAAACUGAUUGCUGAUGAGUGAAGGUUUCACAGGUGCCAUGUACUUGUGACAAGUUAGAAGCUUAUGAGAUGCAUGGUCCACCUUGAGGGGGAGUGUUCAGAGAAGUAACAUUGUUCUUGACAAUAUUAGUGUGCACUACUUUUAUAAAUGGUAGUAUGUCACCCACAUUGGGUUGGCCGAGUUUCAUCUACUUUUUUGUCAAAUAAGUGAAGUUAAUUAGUAGCCACUGUGAUAUAGGUAUAAUUAUGACAUUUGACACAAUCAAUCUUAUGUGUACCUUUUAUGCAUAUAAACAUGCGUUCUCGACCCCUAAGUACUAGGGAUUUGUGUGUACUGUUUCACAUAAUUGCUUUUUAAUGUUGCUCAUUGUAUAACCUGAUUGGUUUCAGCUUGAUAUAGAGGACAAUUCUGCUCAACAGGCUUGGCAGAAGGUUGAAUUCGUCUUUGGUAAGCCAUCAAUCAACUAUAAUACAAUGUGUAUUCAAAGCAUAUUUGCUGUUUGACGUACCAGCAGCAGUGUUGUGUACUUGUUUGUGGGGGUGGGGAGAAAUCUCACACUGACUUUGUAAGAGUCUGAAACCAUGAUAAAGACAAGGUAUAUAAUUCUUCUUAGGCAUUAACUUCUUAUUUAUCUGUCUAAAUAUUUGUCAAAAUUUGGCUUGAGGUUUAGUAUUUUGCUUAGCUUUACCUCUACCAAAUACAUGAUCACACCAAUAAAGCAGGUAGAUGAGCUUAGAGCUUCCUUUUUCUGUCUCUUGAGCUACAUGGUUACAUUUAUGCAUAUGUAUGAAUUUGUUUCUCUCUCAGUUCCUGCAGAACAUGCAUACUACAUUUACUGCAAUAUGUAAUGCAAUUAACUCCUCUCUUAAGGAUGUCGCAUUAUUGGUCAUAUGUCUUCACGUGUCAGUGUUCAAGAAGCUGCAUUUGUGUCUACAGGUUGGAUUUAUGUCCUGGAGAUGCUGUUGAAAAUUUAUGCUUAUGGUUUUGAAAACUAUUGGAGGGAUGGUCAAAAUCGCUUUGAUUUUAUUGUCACCUUGGUGAUAGGUAGGUUAUAUUCAUUAUUGCUGCCACUUUUUACCAUCCAAUCUUCAGUUCCCUAUGUUUCAAUAUCUGAUGCUCCCAUAUAAGUUUCUUCUUGUUGUGAACCUCGGGAACUUCUAUACUGGCUAUUAUGGGCGAAAUGGUCUGGGCUUUUAGUUCUUCGAAAUAUCGCCAUCUUUGACAACCUUAAUUCUUGUAAGAUUUGACUUGAUCACUAACACAAGUCCCAGGAAUCCUGUGACUAUCAUGGAUCAAUGACCAGACGAAUGAGGCCCUGUCUUCUUGGCAUAAAGGUGUUAUUAUCUUUGGUAAAAGCACUAAAAGGAGCUUAAAAGCUUUUCCAUUAGGAAAAUCUGUUUCUACCAGCAAUUUAAAAACUAUUUCUGCGCAGAAAACAAACAAGCAAUAAAAGGUUGGAUUUAUCUGAAUCCACCCAAAAGAUCAAUUGGGUCAAGCUGAUCAAUAAAUGGAACUCAGUUGAUUUUUCUAUUUACAAAUAAGAACUCUUUUGUCAUAAUGCAAAUCAUAACUUCAACAUCCAUUUGGAGAAGUCACUAGAUAAUGGAAACAUCCACCAUAAGUAUAUUGCAUUGCCUAACUUGCCAUUUUGUCUCUGAUGUGGUAGAUGACUUCUGUUUUUGCAGUUGUUGGAGAAACGGCCACUUUUGUGGCUCCCAACAGGCUGACUUUUCUUUCAAAUGGGGAAUGGUAAGAAUGUUUAAUCUUCUUAGUUUUCCUAUUGUAGUGCUCAGAUCAAAGUUUUGAUUGACUUGGAGCUAAGAGCUGCAUAUGGGUGUUUCAAAACUGCUCUAUAUAUAUGCUUUCAUUGUAUCAUAGUAAUUCCCUGAUGCAUCUGGUGAUAUGUCCAAGCAAAUAAAAGAGGACGGCUGAAUACAGCAAUGGUCAUGCAUGGUCCUAUAUAAAUACUAUUGCUGCAGCUACUUGUUUUUUCUUUUGAUUUUUUGUGCUCAUACAGCUACUUUAUGAUUUUGGCAAGUUAAUUUAGGUUCACUGAUUACUUAGUUUGCCAGUGGGAGUCAAAUUUCAUGUAGAACCAGGUUUUUUUGCUUGUUAACCGAGUUUUUGUUAUGUUAUGGGAAUAUGCUUGAUGGGUUUUUGGAUAUUUUUGUGGCCAUAAUGAGGUUUCUGCUUAACUUCAAGCUCUAGGUGUGAUGCCUAAUUUUGUUCUUGGUUGCUGAUUGACCAUUUCCGUUGAAAGGUUUAAAUCAUUGGAGACCAAAUUAGUUUCUUUUUUUCUUGUUUUUUCCCUCCAUUUGCAUAAAUGUUAUCAGAUUUAGCUAGAUUUAAUGUCUAGUACAAGACUAGCUUGAUCUAAUGAACAUGAUCGUAGCUUCAUCUGGUACUGCACAUUCCCACCUAAUCAAAGGUUAAAAUUGAUAGAUAUGACUUACUUUAUUCAUUAUACAUUUGACACGGUUUUGUUCUUCUCCCCUCCGAUAUUUAUUACUUCAAAUUGUAUGGUCAGGUCUAGCACUUUUAUUACUUUUUAUAAUGUCUAUUUUAAAUUCUCAGCAAUAAGUUGAUGAAAUAAUUGUAUCCUUCAUUUGUGAAGCAGCUUAAGCACCCUGUGUAAUGUUCUAGACAAUUUUAGCCACUCAAACUGAACUUUCAGUGUAGGCCCGAAUUUUUGAAUAUGCCACUGUUACCAAAGUUGGUUCUUAAUUUUGGGAUCCAGGGCUCAUCGCCUUGUCUUUCUUGAUGAGUAAUUACAAUUUAGGACUACGAUAAAUGGAAUCCAUUUCUUUACAGGCUGACAACUUGUUGGACGUCCUAAUUUCCAACUAAUAUUUUUCCUUAUUUGGUUGUAAUCGAGAAUAAUCAGCAUUUGCAUACAUUCUAAAUGCCUAUUGAUCUUUUCAGGAUCCGCUAUCUUCUCAUUUUGAGAAUGCUAAGAUUGAUAAGGCUUCUGAUGAAUGUUCCACAAUAUCGAGCUUUUGUUGCCACCUUCUUGACCCUCAUACCAAGUCUGAUGCCAUACUUGGGAACCAUAUUUUGUGUCAUGUGCAUUUACUGCUCAAUUGGCGUACAGGUAAAUCAAGUAUCCUUUUCUGACUGGAUUUAUAAUGUUUUAUUCAGCAGAUUUCUUGCUUUUAGAUGAAAUUUAUGUGACAAAAUCUGUCUAAUAUUGCUUACUUCCAUCAAAUUCAGCAUUAGGCCCAGUUAACUUUUAUAAUCCUCCAAUUUAAUUAUUUUCAGUGCUUUGAGUCCAUUAGCCAACUAUAAUCAUAUUAUCUGACAUCGGUUCGUGUAUUCUUAUAGAUACUAUUACUGCACAUCUUCUCCUUGCAGGUAUUUGGCGGGAUUGUGAAUGCUGGCAACCCCAAGUUGGAGAGCACUGAUCUUGCUGAUAACAAGUAUCCACUGAUGUUUCUGGAAAUGUAUGUAUGCAUUUAUAUAUCUGUAUAUGUAAAUGGAGAUGUGGUGAUAUGUACUUGUUUGAGUGCAUGUCUAAUAAUCACACACACACACAUUGUUUUUUGACAAACUAUUGGACCUUUUCCUUAAGUGAAUUGUGUGAAUCAGCUUUCCUUCUCUGUAUUUUCUUGACAAGUUAGCUAUUUACUCUUUAACUUCAACGAUUACCCGAAUGGAAUGGUCACACUCUUCAAUUUACUGGUGAUGGGGAACUGGCAAGUGUGGAUGCAGGUAUUAUAAUUCCCAUAAUUUUGAGCAUUUUUUCAUGGUUACCAAAUGUAUGCUUUUGUCAAAAAGCUACUUUGCUGUUUUUUUUUCUAUUUUUUUCUUUUUUGUGAUAUUUAUCUUUUCAGCAAGCUGCUUAUCGAGGUUUUAUAAAUUGCAAUUUAUACUGUCUGAGCAUUCUUUCUCUAUGCCUACCCUUUUGCUUUAAAACCAACCUCAUUUGGUUCAUGCAUGAAGGUUAGUAGGCCUGGCUUUUGCUAGGGAUUGGUUUUCAGUAAGGUUUGUCUUUUCCAGCUCUUAGUUAUUGCAGAUUUAGGUUAAGGUGUUAGGUAGUAUUAUAAUAAACUAUUAUGUCGGUUUCUUGUUUUUAUUAGGAGGGACAAACAGACAGCAAUGUUUUAGCAUUAAGAUUCACCCUCACUUCAUUUUCUCAGCUGACUUUGGGGUUUGACUCAAGCCCUUCUAAGAUUAAAGUGUGAAACGCUAUUAGUCCUAACUAAUCAAGGAGGUAUAACAUCGUGGAGAUACCAUUGAGAUUCACCCUUAAGCAUUACAGCUUUCUAUCUGAAGUUGCAUUUUCUUUGCAAUCAGAGGAAGUUCCGUUGCUCAUUUAUCACAUUCAGCUCCAUACAGAUUCAUCAGAGAAGAAAGGAUACUUGCAGGAGUUAUGAGAAGUUCUCAGAUUCUUGGUAGCAAGCGAGACUUCUUAAGAAUUAUCAACAAUUGUAUUUUCGUAAAUUUGCUUAGCUUCAGAGGAUGGUUGUCCUUUGCCAGUUUACAUCACAAUUACUGCUUGAUUAUCUACCCAUAUGUUCACAAUUCUAUGAACUGUUAGAACAAUAAAUAAUUUGCUUGAGAAACUCACCUGAAUUGCAACUUUGUCCAUUGACAGAUAUUAUGUACUUGUCCAGAGAUUGAAUAUGUCUACAUAUUAUCUAAAUGGCAGGAUAUUAUUAAUUGUGCAUUCAACUUUGCCUUAGAUUAACAGAUGCUGAAAUUUCUAUUUUGUGGCUUUGUCUUGCAGCCAUUUACAUAACAUAACUUAGAAAUAAUGAGAAUUUCUUUGUUAGGACUAUUUAGUUGCCAUAUUGGAUUCUCUGAUACUUUCAUGAUAAAAUUUCAGAGCUACGUGGAUUUGACUGGAACUUCCUGGGCUUAUACUUACUUUGUCAGCUUCUACCUUAUCACUGUUUUGCUGCUUUUGAAUUUGGUAAGCUUCUGUUCCAAUUUAAAAUCCUUACCAGAUAAUUGAGUGGUCAUAUUUUACAGUUGUGUGUGGUGUGUGUCAACACCUCUCCUUGCAAAAGAACUUGAUAACUGUAAAUGAAUGCCUUCCAGUUUUCAUGGAACUUUUACUGCAUUCUUAAACUAUUUGCAGAGGUGGGGAAGUAUUGUCUUUCAUAUUGGAAAGCAGUUAUAAAGUUCGGAUACAUACAUGGCUUUGGAGUGCCUAUUGUCUUGCUUUGUUGUGCUUACUUUUGUUUUCUUUGUUGAUAUAAAAAUCUAGUGUUCUUGCUUUUGAAUGGUGUUCUAUCUUGUGAGAAAAUAAGCAAGUUGGAUUCUUUUAUUUGAUAUAACAUUUUUGUUGAUUCCUGAUGUCAAAAGCUAAGACUUUAUGCUCUUCAUUUUCAUUUCAGGUUGUGGCUUUUGUCUUGGAGGCUUUCUUUGCGGAGAUGGAGCUUGAAACUUCAGAGAAAUGUGAAGACACAGAAACCCAGGUUAGUCUAUUUAGUUCAUUUGAGCUGCUCUAUCAGAGUAGAAAUUGUAGGUACCAUAAAAUUGUGUUCAUCAGUAAAUCAUUUGCUAAAAGGUACUUAAUCAAACUGUCAUUUUAGGAAUUUUUGUUGAAUAUCUUAGAAAUUCUUCGUAGUUCCAUUUCCUUCUUAUUGUUAUUUACUUAUAGACGUCUUCAAGGCUGGCUCUCUAUGAAGUGCUUUACAGUUCUGCGCUGCAAGUUUAAAUUAGCCAUUGGAGGAAAUACGUGUGGCCUAGUCCUUGUUGCAAAUUAAUCUUUUAAGCCACAAAUGUCAUAUUCAAGCAUUAGAUCAUGUUUCUUCUGGAUAAGUGAAACUAGUGCAAUCCUGUAUGCUAGAUUCGAAAUUGUCAGAGCAGAAAACUAAGAAAAAUGAGAACCUUGAUGUCUUUACAAUGAGGAAUUUUUAUAUGUACGAUGAUGUCCCAAAUGAAUUAACAUCUGCUAGACUGAGAGCACUAGCCUGUCAAUCGCUAGAUCAACUUGUUUGGCAAUUUCAGUUGACUUUUUUUUGUUGACUUGAUUGGUUUCUUGCAAAAUUAAGUCAAGCUUCAGGCUGAAAGGUUUUAAGAGGUAUAAACUUUACUGCCUUAUGCCUAGACUGCAACCCUUUUAUUUAGUGUGCAUAUGGAAUUAAAUGUACAUGCCUUGAAGAUGUCAAGUUUAGAUGUACAUGGAAAUGAGCAUGUAAAAUUUUUAAGUUAUAUAUGGUAGCUGGAGUUCUAGCUUAAGCUCUUGUUUUUAUUUCAUGAAGACACUAAGCUUGAGCUGAAGAACGAGAUUUUGAGCUGUGCAUAUUGAAAUCUCAAUGAAAUCCUGUUUAAGCAUUGUUUAAAGCUAAGCUGGCAUGAAAAAGAUUCGCCAUCAAGCAACAUGCUUACAGGAAGAGGAUUCUCACCAGACAACUAAUGAACUUUUGCAAACUGGCUUACUUUUAAGGUCUAAACACCCUAGUAGGGUUGUUUGCCAAAACUGAUUUUUUUAUUGGAAAUAAAAAAUAUUGUUGGUUUUAUUGAGGUUCCAGAAAUAGAGAAAUCAAGUUCUAAGAAAUUGACUUCUCCUUCUUCUUUACCAUUUCCUUCUACUUCUUGUGCUACUAUUAUUUCUGUUUUUCUCAAAUUCUUCACUCCCCUCCCCCUCCCUCUCCCUCUCCCUCUCCCUUUCCUCUUCUUCUCCAUAAAUCCUUUAUGCACAUACAAGAAGAGAAUAAAGUAGAAGAGCAGCCACAAAAGCACACCAUGGGAUCCCUGCCUCAUCCAGCAUAUUUCACUCCUAACAAUUUCUCCCAUGACCACCGCUGCCACCAUUAUUGAUAUCAAACUAUCACCGCGGGGGUGCCUUCUUUCAUUCGGCGUAUUAUCCAAAUCCUGGUGCCCAAAAUAUCACGAUCAUAAGGACGUUAAAGUAGAUCACAUCCAAAAUAUUGCUGGUGUUGUGGGUCAGGCGUUCCUGACUGCUUUCAAAUCCUGAGGCUAGCAGCUACAGAAAUAAAGCCCUUCUUGUCCUCAUCAAAAUCAGGAGUAAGAGAAAGCCAAGAAACAUCAUCAGUAGCAGAAGAAGAAAAGGGACAAUUCAAAUCAACAAGAAGAGUUGUGCCUUAGUGGUUUUGCAGGGUUAUCUGCUUGGAAGAAAGAAAUCGACUUUAAAUUCGAUUUCUAUAAGGUCGAUGUUAAUGUCGAUUUCUCUACUUUGGGAACCUCAUUGAAACCCACAAUAUUUCUUUAGUCUCCAAUAAAAAUAGGAAUAUUGUGGUAAACAUCACCAACCUAGUAUCAUUAGUCUUUUGACAGAAUAUGUAGCAGCUCUCUUUCCUAGAUGCUUAAGUUCUGGGGUUAGCCAUUCCAUGGACCCCAUCUGAUGCUUGUGGUAUUUUCAUUUGCUCUCAUUUUCUAUAUGGAAACAUCCAUUUAAGGUCCUCAGUCCAGUAUAA